rnacentral:lncRNA from 1 species
UGGGCCCAGCUAUUUACUCACCUUACCCUUUGCCUCGGGAUUCCGGCUGGGUGAAUCGCCAUUUCCAGCAUUGAUGCCCACUGCAUGUUGGCCAAGCAAAACCCAUGAUGGCAAAAAAAGAGAGUAGCCUCCACCAAGGCGAUAGCAAAGCCCGUGGCAAGGGGAAGACCCAGUCUGCAGUUAUUAGUAGUGAUGGGUCUGGUGGUAAUUAUGGCAUAAUGUGUGGGUAUCAAGAGACUCUCUGGAUAGAAACCACCAUAGUCUGAUUAGCAUUCACAAAAUCUCAAACUCGGUUGCACUCAUGAAGCGAUCAUGAAUAGAGCUGAUGAAGGAGCCCACAGAACGAAGCAUUGCAUUUUCCUGGCUAGCAUGUGGACAUGUUCUAUGGGUCAUCAUUGCGGAACCUAUGCAUAUACCUCUAGGGAAAAAAGUUAUGUAGUUGAUUUUGUCUUGGCGACGCGUGGCGACUCAAGAGAUGUCUCCUUCCCUGGCGACUAGGGUUUUGUUCCCUGGCGACUAGGGUUUUGUUUCUUCCAUCUCCAUUCCAUCUACGUGCCUAGAUCGGAUCCCUCAUCCCAAUCUGAUCGUCGAGUACACCUUCCCAUCUACCCCCUGUGUCCAAAGUUUGAUCUCCGGUUUGGAGCCUAGCCUUCAUCUGCUAACCUAUUUCUGGUUACUAGGAGUUAGGGUUUGUGUUUCUAGCUAGCAGAGGUAGGGAUCCCAUGGAUUCAAAGGGGGAUGGUGUGGCUGGUUUAAUGGAGAAGUCGAAGUUGUCAGAGAAUGAGAAGAAGGGCAUCAAAUUUGGGGGUCAAGGGCGGUGAUCCGGGGGCGUAGAGAUCCCCAGGCGGUGGCAAAGGUUUUGGCGGAUAAACCUGUCAGAGCGGAGGAUUUGGAGAUUUCACUAGGGAGGAUCUAGUGUCCCCUAAAGGGAGUGGAUUGCAAAGAUCUAGGGAAAAUUGUUUCUUGUUUACUUUCUUGCAAGGAUCUAGGAGUGCCGGUAGAGAAGAGCCAGAGGUGAUGAGCCCGUUAAAAGAGGCAAAAUCUCUCCCCAGCCUUGGCGGAGGGCUCGAAGAAGGCUCUCACCUUUGAUUCUGAGAAAUUUGAAUCCGAGAAAGGUGAAGGAGCUGAGCCAAUCGGUGAAUCUGCUGGUAGCUGCCGAUGGGCGGACUGAGGGAAUUAGUAGUGAUAGCAAUAGUACCAUGCAGGCGGCGGUGGGUGAGCUUGUGCCAUGUUUGGAGAAAAAUAAGGGGGGAGUGGCACUAGGAGGGGUUUAAGAAGAUCCCCGAGAACACAUGAAGGAGUUGAAAAGGGAGAAGUCAUUAGGUGGCUGGAUAAGAAAAGGACACGUGACAAUGAGGAUAUGGACAUUGAUGAGAUGGUUAGAGCUUCAAAACUAGGGAAGAAUGAAGGUGAAGGCUCGUUUGAUGAUUUGAAGAAAGCGGGGCCGGCGGACUGGUCCUGCAAGGAUCAAUGAAGCUCUUGGCUUGGAACUAUUGGGGGUUGGGAAAUGCGCCGGCAGUACAUGGGCUUCUUCGGUGUCGUAAAGUCGAAGAGGUUGAUGUCCUUUUCUUGUUAGAGACCAAAUUAGAUGAGAAGAUGAUGACAAUGUUUAAAAAGAAGUUGGGCAUGGCAAACAUGGAGGUGGUGGAUUGUGAAGGUAAAGGCAGGGGUCUUGCUGCAUUUUGGUGGGGUGGGAUUGAUGUGGUUUUGAGAAGUAAAUCAGAAAAUCACAUUGAUUUGGAGGUCCAGGAGACCGGCGGGGACAAAUGCCAUGAUACAGGGAUUUAUGGUGAACCCCAAGCUGAUUUGAAAUAUAAGACUUGGGAAAGGUUGGUGUGGUUGAGAGAUCAAGAUGACGAGCAGCUGCCAUGGGUGUGUCGUGAAGAUUUUAAUGAAAUUCUUUUUCAUCAUGAGAAGGAAGGGGGUGUUCCAAGAUCUCAGGCUUGCUUAGAUCGUUUCAAAAAUGUCCUGGAGGCUUGUGAGUUGGAUGACCUAGGCUUCUUCGGUGAUAUCUUCACCUGGAGAAACAAACAAAUUACGGGCAGUACACAUAUAAUAGAAAGACUUGACCUAGCGGUGGCAAACCUAGGUUGGCGAGUGAAGUUCCUACUGAUGCAAGUCAAAAAUGGAGAUUCUUAUCACUCUAAUCAUAGACCAGUUGGGUUGUUAACAAAGAUGCUCCCCUAGAGGAGAUGCGGUGGUGGGGGGGGUUAAAUUUGAGGCAAGCUGGAUUAAGGAGGAGAGUUGUCGAAGGGUGAUAGAGGAGGCUUGGGAUGCUAAUGAUAGUGGAGAAGCUAGUAUGACAGCGAGUUUGAGUGGGGUAGCAGCUAGUCUGAAGGACUAGAGUGUGAAUGUUCUAGGUGAUUUAGAGAAACACUUAAAAAGGGCAAAAAAGGAGCUGGAGAAGUGGAGAAGGGAGGUUAUUAGUGAUGACUUAGUUAGAAAGGAGGCAGCUUGGUGGAUAGGAUGGAGGAACAAAUAGACCCCUAUUGGAGACAACGAGCACAUUUGAAUUGGUUGCAUAUGGAGUCUGUAACUAUUUUUCCACCAUAUGGAGUCUGUAACUAUUUUUCCACCCUUUUCAGGUCUAGUGUGGAUGACUUAGUUAUUGCUAACUAUUUUCCACCCUUUUUAGGCCUAGUGUGGAUGACGGUGGGGAGCAUCUGCAGCAGCUCCUGGCUGCAGUGCAACUCAGCGUUAGUAUAGAAAUGAAUAAUUUGCUGACUGCUGAAUUUACGGCAGACGAAAUAAAAAUGGCACUAGAGGCUAUUGGUGACCUCAAGGCCCCUGGCCCGGACGAAAUGUUGGUCAUCUUUUUCAAGAAAUAUUGGGACAUUGUCGGUGAACAGCUGAUCAAAGAAGUACAAGUUGUGUUGUGGGCAGGCGAAUGACCCCAAGGCUGGAACGACACAAUUAUUUCAGUGAUCCCCAAGGCUGAAAAACCCCAAAAGGUGACUGAUCUUAGACCCAUCAGUAUGUGUAAUGUGGUUUACAAAGUGGUGUCAAAAGUUUUCACGAAUAGAUUAAGGGCUAUUCUUCAUGAUAAUAUAACCCCAAACCAGAGUGCAUUUGUUCCGGGCAGGCUAAUAUCUGAUAACAUCCUAAUUGAGCUAACUCACUACCUGGAUAAUAAAAGGGAUGGAAAUAUGGGCUAUGCUUCCAUUAUACUAGAUAUGAGCAAAGCCUAUGAUAGGGUGGAGUGGAGUUUUCUAAAGGCAAUGAUGCAAAAGAUGGGUUUUCAUAACAAGUGGAUCUCUUUGAUCAUGGAGUGUGUCACAACGGUCAAGUACUAGGUAGAGGUGAAUGGGGAUCUGACAGAUAGCUUCAAGCCAGAAAGAGGGUUGUGGCAGGGGGGGCCUCUUUCCCCUUACCUUUUCCUAUUAUGUGCUGAAGCCUUUUCUCCCUUGCUAAAAAAAGGGGAAGAAGAUGGUUUAAUUGCUGAAGUUAAAAUCUGUACUGGUGCACCAAGCAUUUCACACUUAUUGUUCAUUGAUGAUUCUUUAAUCUUGAUUCGGGCGAAUGAGGGGGAUUGCAGGCAUCUACAGAGUAUUCUACAAAUAUAUGAGUCUUGUUUAGGCCAAGUCAUUAACAAUGGAAAAUCGGCUAUAUUAUUCAGCAAGAACACAAAAGUAGAGCAGAAGAGAGUGGUUUGUGAUCUGCUGCAGGUUACUAAGGAAACCAUGAAUGAGAAAUACUUGGGGCUACCGGUGCAUGUGGGCAAGUCCAAAAUGAAUACAUUUGCUUAUCUGAAGGAUCGUAUUUGGAAACGGAUGCAAGGCUGGAAUGAAAAAUUCUUGUCAUGGGCAGGGAAAGAGAUUGUGGCUCAAGCGAUACCCGCCUUUGCAAUGGGAUGCUUAGAUCUCUCAAAAACUCUAUGCGACCAAAUUGGGUCUAUGAUUUGCCGGUUCUGGUGGAACCACGAGGAAGGGAAGCACAAAAUACAUUGGUUGAGUACGGAGCAAAUGCUUAAACCAAAAGAGGAGGGGGGGGGGGUCUUUGGUUCAGAGACAUCCACCUCUUUAAUAUGGCCAUGCUAGCGAAAUAGGGAUGGAGAUUGUGGCAGCAACCUGAUUCCCUUUGUGCUAGAAUUUUGAAAGCAAAAUAUUUUUGCUAAUUCUUUUGUGUUGGAGGCUAAGCCAAAGUCUGGUCUGUCGUACUCCUGGAGAAGUAUACUGUGGGCAGUCUGGAUGUUGUGAAGAAAGGCAUGACAUGGAGAGUUGGAGAUGGUGAAGGAAUCAAAAUUUGGUCUGACCCUUGGAUCCCAAGAGAUUUUUCUAGGCGACUGAUUACUCCAAGGCGUCACUCCAUCCUAACUGAAGUAAAAGAUUUAGUUGACCCCCCACACCGAAAACUGGAUGAUGAACUAGUUCGCGAUACUUUUUGGGCCAAGGAUGCUAAUCUAAUCCUUGCUCUCCCUAUCCAUCAGGGCCAAGAGAAUACUCUAGCUUGGCACUUUGAUAAGCAUGGUGUCUUCAGUGUGAAAAGUGCAUAUAAAGUUGCUCGGGAGGAUCGAUUACGGUGUACAAAUAACAAUGGCAACUAGGGGAGUAGUAACAGGAACCAACAAAGUUUGUGGAAAGCAAUAUGGAAGUUAAAAUGCCCCAAUAAGAUAAAGCAUUUCAUCUGGCAAUUUGCUCAUAAUAGUCAUCCUUUGCGGUGCAAUUUGGUGAAUCGAGGAAUGAAAAUUGAUAUCCGAUGCCCAGUCUGCAAUCAUACUGGUGAUGAUGGUGCUCACCUGUUCUUCAAAUGCCAGCCUGCUGAACAUCUAUGGGGAUUAUUGGGACUCGAAACCGAAAGAGCACAAUUGGCGAUGAUUCGGUCCGCCCAGGAAGUUGUUGAUGCUAUACUAAAGGCCACACAGAAGAGGAAAAUCUUGAUGAUCAUCGCUCUGUGGUUCACUUGGUCUGAACAGAAUGCAAUUAGGGAGAAGGGAAGGCGGAGAGGUCCCCAUGCUACUUGCUAGAUGUGUGGAGCAGUAUGCUAAAGAGAAUGAGGUACCAACCACUACUGUCACUUCUCUGAAUCAAAUUUGUAUCAAAUCCGACAACAGAGAAGAUGGGUCAGACCACCAACACACUGAAACUCAAUUGCGACACUGCUUUCUUCACUGAAACACACAGUGGCAGUUGGGGAGUGAUCAUUAGAGGUGCUGAUGGUGAUGUGGUGAACACAGGAAGGGGGAGGGUUAAUCACCCCCUUAGUCCGUUCCAUGCAAAACUCAUAGCAUGCCUCUAGGGGAUACAGUUAGCGGUGAAUAUGGGCAUUGGUCAGAUCAUUGUUGAAACGGAUCCGCAAGAGGUUGUAAAAGCCAUGAGAUCCAUGGCAUAUGAUGAUUCAGUUGUCAGCCAUCUUAUUGCUGAAAUUAAGUCGCUGUUAGGAUUAAAUUAUCUUAGACAUGAGUGUGUGUUUGUGGGUCGUGAUUGUAAUCAAGCCGCUCACAAGCUGACUGCGUUGGGGUAUUUGUGCACUGAGGGUGAGGAUUUAGUCACUUGCUCCUUACCCGAAAGUGUAUCUGUAAUUGUUGCUAAGAUUUGUUAGCCAAUGAGUAACGAAAGUACCCAGUUUCAAAAAAAAAUUAUGUAGUUAAAUAUUUCUUUGUGCUGAAAAUCAUAGUUUUUAAAAAUACUAUCCUUGUACGAAAGAAUGAAAAUUAUGAUGCUUAUUAUUUGAAUGGCCAAACAUAUAUAUAUUUAUAAUAAACUAAUAACCUAUCUGGAGAUACAAUUGCUAAUAGUAUUUUUUAUAAAUAUAAACCUAGUAAAAGUUUGAUUUAACCUAAAUUUAAAGUGAUAUUUUUAGACAAAGGGACUAGUAUAUAUCACAAUAACUUUUUUUUGUAAAAUUAUAAUGAUUUGAUAGGUAUAGUCAGUCUAGGCGGGCAAUGUAAUUAAAAUUAGCCUUGCUUGGAUGGAGGAGUACACGAUCAGAUCCUGGUUGUGAAAGAGUUAGUGAUAGACACGUCGUUGUUAAAAGAUGAACAUGGACACAUACGAAUUAUGAACCAACCCUGACCCAAUCGACAAGUCUGCUCCACGGACCACGCUCACGAUGGACGGCUUGACCCAAUUCUUGUUGGUCAAACUCUUGAACUAUUCCACGAACGCAAUGGCUUUGUUUAUUAUCAGUCAGUUGCCAUCAUGCAUCAUGACUAAUAUUUUCCGAGUUGUAUAGUUUGCCUGGUUUUAGCCAGAACUAAUACUAGCUUUGUAUAGCAGGUUCCAAGUUUGGAGCUUAUUCCCUUCAGAAAUAAAGUCUCAGCUUCAAUGUAUGAAGUUGGAUGGAGGUAAAUUUAAUAAGCUCUCUGGGAUCCCUAAAUAAAUACUAGCUAGUUCAUAAUAUUUUAUUUGAAGUUACUGAGAUGUGCCCAAAUCUUAUCUAUGACAAACCUAAUUGAGCUAACUCAAAUCUUAUCUAUGACAGAACUAAUACUUUGUUUGGAACUUAUUGCAUUCAGAAAUUAAGUAUCAGCUUCAAUGUAUGAAGUUGGAUGGAGAUAUAUUUUAUAAGCUCUCUGGGAUCCCUAAAUAAAUACUAGCUAGUUCAUAAUAUUUUAUUUGAAGUUACUGAGAUGUGCCCAAAUCUUAUCUAUGAGUAACCUGCAGCUAAAUGCUGGACGUAGACACAUCACACAUACCAAUAAGAUUGGAGCUAUUUCUACUUACGGAGUGCAAUCAUCCAUGCAUCCAUGGUGUCGAUGAAUUGCUAAACAAACGCAGAAUUAUUGACCCAACCCAAACCUGAUGGAAAAGUCUCUGCUCCAAGUCCACGGUCAUGCAUGGAUGGCUUGCCAUCGCUAGUAGCUAGGAUGUCACGAAGUAGGGACCUGCAGCUGUAUAAAAUUCUGACAAGGACACACAGGCUAGCUAGCUGACUAAUAGUCGCAACUGUGUUGAAUAUUACUCUAUUAUUCUAAACUGAAAGUUGUUAUAAGCUAAGGUUUGAAUUUUUCAUAUCCUUUAAGAUGUCUUUGGAGUAAUAGUCGUUAUAAGGCUUCAAUUUUCAUAUGCUUUAAAAUGGUAGACAUCCAGGAGAAAAAAAAAGACAUUUCCAACACAAAGGCCAGACUCCCUAUAAGUACCAGCGUAUUGUAUUGGCUAGUACAGCACAAACACGACACAAACAAGCUAGCUACAGUCGUAGUUGAGAGCAGUACGUACGUAGUUGAAGACUCCAAUUAUUAGCGAAGGAGAAGGAAUGGCGUUCGUCCAUGGCGAGCAAGAGGGUGAGGACAUGGUCGGAGCUUUCGCCCUUGUCUACCAGCACGUCUUCAGCUACAUCAAGACGAUGGCGCUGAAAUGCGCCGUGGAGCUCGCCAUCCCCGACGCCAUCCACGGCCGUGGCGGCGCCGCCACCCUCGCCGAGAUCGCCGCCGACACGGGGGUGCACGAGUCCAGGCUCGCCGACCUGCGGUGCCUGAUGAAGCUGCUGACCACGUCGGGGCUAUUCAGAGCCACCGCCGCGGACGGCGGCGAGGAGGUGGCGUCGUCGUACGCGCUCACGGCGGCGUCCAGCCUCGUGGUCGGCCCGCGCGGCCUGUCCAACAUGGUGCGCUUCGACUGCGGGCCCGUCUCGCUCACCCCGUUCUUCGACAUGCCCACGUGGCUCCGGACGGCGCCGGGGCCGGAGGCCCCCAAGUCGCUCUUCGAGCUCACGCACGGCCGCACCCGGUGGGACCCAGCCAACGCCGACAACGACACCAUGAUCGUCUCCGCCUUCAUCGAGAGCCAGCUGCUGAUCGAGGCCGUUCUCGGCGGCCACGCCGACGUCUUCCGCGGGCUCACCUCGCUGGUGGACGUCGGCGGCGGCCAGGGCUCCUUCGCCAAGGCCAUUGCGGCGGCGUUCCCGGGCAUCAAGUGCGCCGUCAUGGAUCUGCCCCACGUCGUUGCCGACGCCCCCGUCGCCGCUGGUGGCGGUGAUGAUGUGCAGUUUGUUGCCGGAGACAUGUUCGAGUCCAUUCCACCAGCCGAUGCUGUUUUACUCAAGGUAAUUAAGUACGUGUUGUGUCAGCGUACGUCGACCCUUUUUGCUACUAACAAUAUAUAGUUAUUAUAACUAGCAGAGCUAAUGAUUAAUAUGUUUUAUGUGUGAUUAGUAUGUUUUGCAUUGCUGGGACGACGACAACUGCGUUAAGAUUCUUAAGAAUUGCAAGGAGGCUAUCCCUGCAAGAGACGCUGGAGGAAAGUUGGUAAUCACAGAGAUGGUGCUAGGGUCCGGGCCUCGUCGUGACAGAAACGUUGCUGAGACAGAAGAGAUGCAUAGCUUGUUCCUCACGUGCAUCACCGGCGUGGGGCGAGAGGAGCACGAGUGGAAGAAGAUUUUCGUCGAUGCUGGAUUCAGCGACUACAAAAUUACCCCGAUCAUGGGCCCGCUUUCGGUUAUCGAGGUUUACCCUUGAUACUUGCAUUGGAAGAGGAAAUGAAUUUUGCCUUAAAGAUGAAUUCUGCUAUGUAAUUGUCGGUUUUCUAUAUGUUUUUGUGUCAAUCUAUAUCUAUAUCAAGCUAUACCUAAUAAUAAUAAAGAGGCAAAAAAUUUCUGGCAUAUCCAAAUUUUCGUUCAACCUAAUCAUAUUGUUGUAUCUGUGUCUAAUUUGUUCCCGUUUCCUUCUCCAAUUUCAUCUCUUUUUUAUUUCUCUUUUUUUUCCCCUCUCCCUCUGAUGGUAGGUUGGGCUCCCUAUAUAUGCUCUUUCAGUUUCCAUAUCCCAAACAAAAAAAAUUCUAGUCUGAUGCGCACAUAGUGUAGGCCGAGCGACGUUGGUUGCAACAGAGCUGGGCGAAGAAGGAUACAUGAGUGGCUCUGAUCCUUCGUGACAGGACGGCGAGGUGAGAAAAGAAGCAGGGUGCGGCUUGGUGCCCAUUCUAGUCGCCCACGCGCGUGGUGACCGCAAACUCUGACUCAGUGACAUCAACGGAGAAUGAGCACGCUUCUUAAACCCACCAUUGCUCCAGCACGAGAGGGUUGAGGUUUGGCCAAAGCUUCUGUCCUCAAGCCGACACUCCUAACGAUCGGGAGAAACCUUUGCCACGACCCAGGAGUGACCAGAGAGUUGGAUAGGCGAAUGCCAAGGUGAGCUCGUCACUGAACAUCAGUGCACGAACAUAGAGCCCAAACAAAGUUAUUGACGUGUUCUAGGGACGAGGCUCGGACAAUUUUUAUGAGAGCAAAGCAAUACUCCACAAACAUACAACCUUUACCAAGCUCAAGCACUCGCUUUGAUGCAAACAACUAUGCAAAAACGUAAUAUAAGUGCUUAGGUAUUUUUGUUAAAUUUUAAAUGUCAAAAGAGCAUUGUCCACUAUGAUUUGGGACUUAACGAAUUUAAGGUUUCCGCUAGAACUAACAAUCAUCAACACUUUUGACGCAAUUUUUAAAAGGUCUAAACCUUCCUCAUUUCAACUAUAAGUAUUUCAUACAAGAGUCCACACUUUAUACUAACUCAUAGAAACAAAACAUAUAGACAUCACAUGAUAAUUCUCCAAAAAUAGAUCUUUUUAAUCAUAGACCAUAUUAUUCUCUUAUUUAUAAAAAUAGUUUUUCAUGCUGAACAAUUAAAACACUUAUUUUAUUCUUCUUAUCAGGAUCUCACUAGAAUGUUUGGUGUGGCUUUGGAAAGCUCUAGGUCCACCUCCUUGCACACUGUGCAGCUCUAUACACUCUUAUAGCAAAAGAAAAAAAGCUCCGACUCAUACGCAGACAAGAGAUGAGCAAGAAGAGCUACACUUGGGAGGCUUCUCCUGGCUCCGCUACAGUGCGCUACACUAGCGGAGCCGGAGCUCCUUAGAGCCAUGUCAAACAUAACCUUAGUGUACAUGUGAUGAUAUACUAUGAUGUAUUUAGUGAUGUUUACGUAAUAUAUAUAUGAUGUUCUAUAAUAUUUUUAGUGAUAUUCUAUGGUGUAUUUAAUCAAGUUCACUUAGUAUGCAUAUGAUGUUCUAUAGUAUAUUUUAGGAUGUUUGAAAAGUAUCCAUAUGUUAUUCUUUUAUUUUUUGUCUGUUAUAUAGUUUCUUUUUUUUCUUAUACUUUGCUUUAGAUCUUAUUAAAAAAUACCUUACCGUAGGUGGAGCGCUUGCCGGGGCAGACCUAGGUGCAUCGGGGCUGGAGCUAGGUGCGAAACGAUGGGACCCGUUCGUGUGGUGACGGUUGAAGAAGCACACGAAAAGGAGAGGCAACAGAGAAAGAAUAUAAAAUAACUCGAAGCGAUAUGUUUGUGUAACAAGGUAGUGAUGGGUAUUCUGUGCUAAUAUAUAAGACAUAACCACCUCGAGUUCAAAAACCAAAAACACAUUUAAUUCUCUUUCAGAGCACAUACAUCAUUAAUGCAUGAGAUAUAGAGCACACCGAUAUUAUGAGACAUGAACACAAGUAGUUACACCUUAUAUAUUAGGAUAGAGUGAGUAAUUUUCAUUAAUUCUAUGAAACUAGAGUUUUUAGAGCACUCUUUGAGGUGCCCCAUAGUUUUGGUGGAUCUCGAAGCUAGAUCCACAUCUUUUUUACAGAUCUAGAGUUUACGGAACUAGAGCGUUUGGGCUGGAAAAAAAAACAGAAGCAAAGCUGUUCUUUUGGAUCUACAACUGCAUGGACCUAUGCCAAACACCCUCUAAAUGCACCUUAUUUCUCUAUGAAAUCCUGGAUCUAGAGAUCUAGACAUUUCAAAUUAUUAUAAUAAAAUAUUUAGAUAUCUUUAGUUGUCGUACAAACUAAAAUCUACUCCUAAUUGUUAGAGCUAUACGCAAGAAUCCUUUUUUUUUUAUCACAGAAUCCUUUUUUUAGUUCAGUUUGGCCCUCUUGGCCUUUCAUUAACAAACGUAGACUUGACGAAAUCAUGAUGGGAGUGACUACGCAACUUUCAGUUGAUUUUGUUUUACUAAAUCAACCAGAUUUUUAACCAACCAAAGACUGACACGUCACAAAUCAAACUGAUAUAAAAUCUAGAAGAUACGGGGCAAUAAAACAACCAGAAAUUAACCAACCAAGCACAAUAAAAAAACGUGAUUGAAAAACUAAAACCGCUAACAACCAGAUCUCAAACAAUGAGUGGAUCACAUCCUACUACCGAUCUCCACAAGAUGUGAUCCAUUCACUUGAGAGAAAGGAAAGAGAUACAUCACAUCCUCAUGUGAAACAUAAAAAAUCAACUUGACCGCCAGGAAAAAAAUGAUGAAACAAGAAAACCAAGACAAAACUUUUAAGGAUUAAGAAUAGUUGAAAGCAAAACAAAUUAAAAAUUAUACUUACCCUUACAAAUGAUUUAGCAGAAUCCAAACCACCAAGAAUUUUGUUAGCGUAUUUCACAGGUGCAUUUAUGGGGUUAUUUUGAAUAACCUAUAUUUUUUUAAAAAAAUAAACACAAUAUGAAGCCAAAUAAAUUAUCAAACCAUCCAAAGUGAAAUCAAUUUUCUCAAAGUCUGAACAACUAGGAUAAAAUCCACAGAACUUUAAAAAGGUUAAAUUAGGUUGAACUGACCAAUAGAAACAAGGAGAGAGAGAAAAAACAUUGCUGAUAACAUCAAUGCCAUCCUUCUCAACUUCUUUUCUACUUAGAGGAUGAAUUGGAUUCAUUGGGGGCAAGUCUUGCCUUAAUCUUUUCUACAAAGACGUCGCAUGUUCUUAAUUUUUUUUUUAAAAACACCUCGGAUGAAGAAAAUAAAACAUAAAAGAAUACAACAUCUUUGUCUGCCUCUAGUAGAUGAGAGAAGAGGAGGGAAAUAGAAGGAGCAGAGGGGUUGCAGCUCUUGCCUUGGCAACUACAUAAGUUGGGCAUUGGAUUCUUCCCAGAGCUAAACCUCUGCUCCCCAUCAAAAAUAAAAAUAAAAGUGAAAAUGAAAAAUAAAACGAAACACUAAAUCUUAAAACUCAUUGAAGAAAUAACUUGACUAAACAAAAAAACAACUUCUGAAACUCAACCGUUGACACAACUAGUAACAAAUGGAAUCCGAUUACCAAAAACUUACCCUCUGCAUAAAAUAAACUACAAGUUAAUGGAACCAUCCGACUAAAAUAUACAAGACAAAUUUAAAAGAUAACACAAAAGACUACACUCAAAAAAUAAAUGGCAAUGGUACUAGGUAACAAGUUUUAUUUAACUCCGAUAAAGCAAGCUUUCUAAAUAACAUAAAUAUUGAACCAUUGACACUAAAAAAAAACAGAACUGAAACUGAAUAAAAGAACAACUGACAAAUGAACCAGAUACUGAAACAGAUUACUGAAUUCUCAUUUCAUUUACAAAUGGCAACGUGCUCAAGCAGUGCUAUACUUAUUUAUCAGGAUCCAACCAUUUUUUCCCCACAUUUUCACAUUGCAUAUCUGCAUACAAGCACUAUUCCAAAAAAAAGUCUGUACAAAUUUAUGGUUCUACCUUGUAGGGAAACAUAUCUAGUAUUGUCCCAAGAUAGCACGAAUGACAACAAAAUCACAGCCAUAGAAAACUGAUUGAUUAAAAGACAAAACAACAACCGAUAGAUGAAUAGAAAUCCCGAAUCAUGAUCAGGAAAAAAAAAAAACACACCUUUUCUCUUCCAGAUACAAUCAGGCUCUUGACCGUGCUUUUAAAGGCCCAUCUAGGCCUAUAUACCAAAAAAGAAAAAAAAAAACUUGCGUUUCACGCGGCGUGGUCGACUGCGACCUCGCAAGGCCCAUCACGUGCACGGGCCGCUAGGAGCAAAAAGAGGCCGCGGCAUCCCUCUCGUCUCGCGUUAUUAUUAAAUUAAACAAAACAAGCAGAUCCCGGGCCGAAGAAGCUCCCGAGCAAGCCGGCGAAAGCCCCCCAAACCCUCCCCUCCCGACCCUAGAGCAGCGGCGCACGAGAUGGCCGACGACCCCACCACCGGCGGCGGCGGGGGUGAGGGCGGGGACCGCGUCGAGGACGUCGUCCGAGCCGAGGUGAGCGUCCGUCCCCCGUGUCUCCCCUGAUCCUUGCCUUGCGUGGUGACCCGAUCUCUCUGCCUGCGGUCCGGGCGUCCGCCCCCCGUUCCGCGUCGGCCUGGCUCGGCUCGCCCCGAUCUGUCCCUGCCGGCGGCGGCGGCGCCUCGCGCGUGGUUCAGUUUCGGGUUAGAGAUGUCGGCGGCGUGGUGUUUGGGCGGGGGGAAUCUAGGGGGCGAGGCGGAUUGGUGCGGACGCGGUGGGGCUGAUGCGCGAAUUUCUGCCCGUUUCGUUUCGGGUGCAUGUAUAUGGGGACUGGGGUGGCCUGAUUUGGUUUAUAACGUGUGAUUCUCUGCUGGGUAGCUUAUAGUUAUUGUCAAGGUAGGGUUUUCAGUGGUGCUGACAGAUCCAUUGCAAAUUAGCAAUGCCCACUGCUUGUCUAGCAGGAGACGUCGAUUGGUUCGGAUUUGAGCCUUGGGAUGUGCUGAGUGGUUCACAUAGCUUCACUAUUGAUUGAGCUUUUGCGCUCAAAAUCAGAUAGGAAGUGAGACUGGGCCUUGUUCAGUUCGCGAAAAUUUUUGGCUUUGACUACUGUAGCACUUUUUGUUUAUAUGUGACAAUUAUUGUCCAAUUAUGGAGUAACUAGGCUCAAAAGAUUCGUCUUGCAAAUUACAGGCAAACUGUGCAAUUAGUUUUUGUUUUCGUCUACAUUUAAUGCUCCAUGCAUGCGUAUAAAGAUUCGAUGUGAUGGGAAAUCUUGAAAAUUUUUGGAAACUAAACAAGGCAUUGCUGUGCCUUUGCUGUAGAUGUCAACUGAAAUUUCCUCAAUAAUUCACCUACCCACUUGCGGCAGCCAUCCCAGGUUCCUUAAGUUGGCUGAAACUAGUGUGUGUGUGUGUGUGUGGAUGUGCCGACUGCAGAUCUCUUUGAUUUCAAUAGCUCAUAACUCUUUUUACAUUUACUUUGCCACCAAACUGUCAAGCUGCUUUUCUUUUUAGCCUGGUUGCUGUGGUGGUAACAACAAGCUAAUAUUGCUACAUACUCUUAUCUCUAGGGUGAAACGCAACCUCAUGAUGAUGGCUCGUCGAAAUCCAAGGAUAGGGAGAAAGAUAGAGAAAAAGACAAGGACAGAGAUCGUCGCAGGGACCGUGACAGAGAUAGAGGGAGAGACAGGGAUCGUGAUAGAGAUAGAGAUAGGGAUAGGGACAGGGAUCGGGACAGAGACAAGGAUCGCCAAAGUAGGCAUCACCGUGAAAGACGGGAACCGCGAGACCGUCCUGAUGAUCACAGAGGCCGUGAUUCUGAAAGGUGCGAUUGUUAACAUGCACCUUAUUACGCUAUGCAAAACAGUAUUAUGUUUGCGAAUUGUAACAAUGUCCACUUUUGUUCUUGUGGAUGCAUGAGAUGUUUUUCAUUUAUAUGUUCUGCAGACGGCAGUUUUUAGUGAGUGACUUGCAUCUGUUUUAUUUGAUUUCUUGUGUUUUUUUUUGAAAAAUACUAAAAACAGGAGAAGAGAACGUGACAGAGAUGGACAUCGUAGGCAUCGUUCUCGGUCUCGUUCAAGGGGUAGAGAUCGAAGAUCUAGGUCACGUUCAAGAAGGUAUGAAAGUGAAGUUCCUAAGUACUACAUUUUUUUUUACAUUUUGGUGAGAUUGAUAUCCAGAUAAAUAUUCCUGCUCCCCCUUCCUCUUUUAUACUUAUUAUCACGUUGAAGUUGCUCAUUGAAACAAGUGUACCUUUGCAUAUUUGUUGUUUUGACGUAUAUUGUGUUUUUUUGUUUUCUUUUGUCAUCAUUUCUUGUAUCGACUCUUAUCCUUUUCAAAACUUAUUUGAGCCAUGUUUUGAAUAUGCUAAUUGAAGAUUUAAUAGAUGGCAUCUAUCUCUUUGUUAUAUAUGUGAUCAGUUUUCUCUUUUGGUAUUCAGUUUCCAGUUUCCACUUUAACAUAAGAUUAUCACUAGUGAGUAGUAACUGAUACAAAUUUUAUUGAAGCAGCAAGCGAGUUAGUGGAUUCGAUGCACCACCCCCACAAGCCAUGGGUUCACCAUUUCCAGUUAUUCCAACCCCAAGUAUGCUCUCAUCUCUUAAGUUAAAUAUUUUAUGUUUUCAUCUUUGCAGUUUUGUUUAGUUUAUUUGUACUUAAGACUUGCCAACCACUCCUUUUCAUCAUGAUGCUAUAAUGUAGUCACGUCAACCGCUAUUACUACGUUUCCGUCAUAUCACCUUCCAAUACUAACUUCUGAUUCAAUAUCGGUUAACACUGAAUAAUGUUUGGCACUACAAAGCUCUCUAUUCCUUGAUAAAUCAUCUCCAGUAGAUUCUCGUGUAGUUACCAUAUACCCCUAACAUCAAUACAGAAUUGUGCAAAUAUGCCUAGUAGGAUCCACCUUGGAUGGUCCACCCUUAAGGUGAAAUGCAAGGAUAUAGUAAAAGGGACUAAUUGUUCUAGACCUUUAGUUAGAACUUUUUGUUGGAUGCUUGAAAAAACACUUGUGUAAAAAGGUAUACAUUAAGAGAGAGUGCCCACAAGUGAUUGUUUCUCCGUAGAAGCAAGUAUCUUCUGGGGAUACUCUUUUUUGUGCGAUAAUGUCUUCUCGUACAAAUAAGUUUAAGUUUACAUUUUACCAUUGCUUAUCUGAUAACUGAGCAAAAUUUUCUGCUUUUGUUCUUUGUUGUUUGUCUGUUUUGUGUAUGUGUAUGGUAAGAAGGCAACCAUGUAUGGUAACAAGCCAAUCUUGGGUCACUUGCCCCACUUCUGCCAGUGGAAUGAGCUGCCUACUGUAGCUUUAAUGUACAAGGAAGAAUCAGUGCGCCGGUUUGAUAUCGUCCUGUUCAUCUUCAACUAGCUAGUACUAGGUUACUAGCUUCAUGAUUAUUACAUAUUUAUACCUGUCCUUGCACGUAUGUUGUUAAAUCUUUGGCAUGAUUACUGCAUAGCUGGUUCUUGAUCUAUACAAGCCUUUUAGGAACAAUACCUUACUAAUUGCUAAUUGAUUAUGCUUCCUACUAGAAAUUUAUUGAUGUCUUGCAGGUCAGUUACCAGGCACUUCCCUUCCCAACAUUGGCGGCAUGUUUCCAAACAUGCUCCCUUUUGGUGUUGCUGGGCAGGUAAUUCCUUUCUUCCAUGUCUUCUAUUUAGUAAAAACCUUCACUCCUUUUUUAUUUUUAUUAUGCCUGGACUACUCUUUGUUGUUUUGUGAUUGUGCGUUUGUUUGAAUCAGUUCAACCCCCUUGUCAUCCAGCCACAAGCAAUGACUCAACAGGUAUGGUUCUCUAGUUCUUAAUAUUCUGCAGUUAUCGAUAAAAAUUGUACCAACACCAUUUCCUUUCAGGCUACUCGUCAUGCUCGGCGUGUUUAUGUCGGCGGCCUUCCUCCAUCUGCUAACGAACAGGUCCAUAUACUUGAAGUCACUUAAUUUGCAACACUGGUGCACGCAUUGUUUGCGACUGUUUGUUCAAUUUCUCUCUCUCCUUUUUUCUACAGACAGUGGCAGUUUACUUUAAUCAAGUCAUGGCUGCUAUUGGUGGAAACACUGCUGGUCCAGGUGACGCUGUUCUCAAUGUAUACAUAAAUCAUGACAAGAAAUUUGCUUUUGUGGAGAUGAGAUCAGUUGAGGAAGCAAGCAAUGCAAUGGCCCUGGAUGGCAUUAUGUUUGAAGGGGCGCCUGUGAAGGUCAGAAGGCCAACAGAUUACAACCCUUCCCUUGCAGCUGCACUGGGCCCAAGCCAGCCAAGCCCCAAUCUGAAUCUUGCAGCAGUUGGCCUAACAGCAGGAUCUACUGGAGGGCUAGAAGGUCCGGACCGUAUUUUUGUGGGUGGCCUUCCGUAUUACUUCACUGAAGCUCAAGUUCGGGAGUUGCUUGAAUCAUUCGGUCCUCUUCGAGGGUUUGAUCUUGUGAAGGACAGGGAAACCGGUAACUCAAAAGGCUAUGCAUUCUGUGUUUACCAGGACCUCACUGUCACUGACAUUGCUUGUGCUGCACUAAAUGGUAUCAAGAUGGGUGACAAAACCCUUACUGUCAGACGAGCAAACCAGGGGGCAUCUCAGCCCAGACCAGAGCAGGAAAGUAUCCUAUUGCAGGCACAGCAACAGGUGCAGUUACAGGUAUAAACCAACUAUAUUUAUUCUCUUUGCCAAUUAGGUUUUACAUUGACUGUUCUAGUGUUCUGUACCUGAUAUACCCUUUGUAAACAGAAACUUGUGUAUCAAGUUGGGGCGCUCCCUACAAAGGUUGUUUGCCUCACCCAGGUGGUAACAGCAGAUGAAUUGAAAGAUGAUGAAGAAUAUGAGGACAUUAUGGAAGACAUGAGGCUAGAAGCAGGCAAAUAUGGUAUAUUAUCAGCCGCUUAUUACUCCCUCCAUUCCAAAUUAUAACAUGUUUGAGCUUUUCUAGAUACAUAGUUUUUGCUAUGCACUUAGAUAUAUACUAUGCAUAGACACAUAGUGAAAGCAAUGUAUCUAGAAAAGCUAAAACGCCUUAUAAUUUGGAAUGGAGUAUCAUUUACUCUCUUGUUUUGGUUGCUACAUUGAGGCCACUGAUCACCCACUGAACAAUGUCUUAUUUCCACAUCCAUGUUCUGCUUGUCUUUACCCAUAGUUGAAUCCUGUAGCUUUAUUUAUUUCUUUAGAACUUGAAGUUUAGACCUGUUAUUUUGUUCCCAAAUAUUUUUUCAUCAGGUACUUUGGUGAAAGUCAUCAUCCCACGUCCUGACCCCAGCGGACAGCCAGUCGCAGGAGUUGGGAAGGUGAGUCUUUUAACUCUUGAGUUGUACUAACUAGAGAGGUUCUCAAAACUUUGCACAAACAUUUGCAUUCUAUUGAGUUAUUAUCUCUGAUGCAUGACAUUUCCUAUUGCAGGUGUUCCUGGAAUAUGCAGAUAUCGAUGGUGCGGCCAAAGCAAAGACAGCAUUGCAUGGAAGGAAAUUUGGUGGGAACCCUGUGGUCGCUGUCUGCUAUGCUGAGGACAAGUUUGCCAAUGGGGAAUAUGAUGGAUGAAAACCUCCUGAACUAUAGCAGUAGUUGGUCUCUGGCUCGUCGCUACCUGUUUGUUUAAUCGCAGCAAAGAUGAAGGGUCUCUCAUCUAAGCUGAACCUGUAUUGAUUGCCCUGGAUUUUUGCUAAGCCACCUGUUGUGAUUUGUGAAACAUUGGAAGAAUAGGUUUCUGUGUUUGAAUUGUUCCUUUGUUCUGUAUCUUGUUUUUUUGAAGCAAAUCUGUAUCUUAUUUGACUAUAGUUUCCGCUGGAUUUCUUGUUUAUACUUGUAUGGGCAAUUUGGCUGGCUGUUGCAGCAAGCUAGGAAUAUCAUAAAAAGGAGAUGGAUAUUCUUCGUGCAUUGUGCAUCACUAAUUUUUUUUGUGUGACGCAUGACUUGGUAAAGCAGGGAAUCAUCUCUUAGUAACUUUUUAUGCUUUCGCAAACAGAACAUGUCCUUAUUUCUCGAAGGCAGGUCUUACAAUUAACCUAAAAUGUAUGUAAACUUCUAAACGAUUCAUGUACAAGGUUUCAUCUGUUAGAUCGUAUUCUCGACAUAGUGAUUAUUUAGUAGUUAUGGUUUUAACUUUUCGACAAUGCUGAGCCUGCAUGGGCUUCAAAAUUAGUUUUAUUAUUAUCCAAAAAAAAGGCCAAGGAUUCUUUAUGUUGUACGGACCGCUUUCAGUGUAAUGUAAUGGACGCACAUCAAUGAGAUAUAAAAAGGCAACAAGCAACAUGGUUGAUCCCACAUCUGGCGAGCACAGGCACAGCUAACAAAGGAAACAAACUAAACAUCGAUAUACGAUUUUUCUAAAGUUCAAUCCAAACUUCGCAAAGAUAAUAUUGCGAUGAUCCAAGUCUUCCAAAUUCUACGACCGUGGGUUGCUCCUCCUUAUGCAGCAGGCGCCGAUAUUGGAUUCAGUAAGUCACCCAUCUUUUCUUCUGUUUUUGUAAGUUGUGAACCUUUAUUUUAAUAAAUCGAUCUCUGCAGGGGCGAAAGCCCCUCCAGUACUCUAAAAAAAAAGAUUUGGCUUUGUUAAGUACCAUAUCAUUUAUAUUCAACCAUAAUGCCCAAACAUAAUGCAGAUGUGAGCUCUCAUCUAUGAGCUCGUGUUCUUGAUAUGGUUUUAACUUUCCCACAAAGCUGAACUGUAUGGCCUUCCAUAUUAAUUUUAUUAUUAUCCAAAAAGCCAAUGAUUCUUUAUGGUUGUACCGACCGUUUUCAGUGUAAUGUAAUGAAGGUGCGUGCUUCUUUGCAUGCAUGCAACGUGCAUCCACACCUUUGUGCAUUAUAUAAAGAAUUCACUAUGCUGAGCUGCCUGCACUGAGCUUCUAUCUAGCCAGCUAGUUUGUAUACAUAUGAAUUGUAAAAUUUUAUAUUUACGUGCUGGAUAAACUAUCUAGAAAUCAGUUUAGUAGCGCCUGCUAGGUGGAGGUGUCAAAAUAUGACUUACCAUAUUUACAUCCACCACUACUGGACUAGCAUGCUUUGCCGAGGGCCAGAGGCCAAAAAACUUGAUACGAGUUCCUAGAUAGGGACUCAACAUACACCAAACACCAUGAAUAAUAUUUUUCAAAAUACUACAUUGCAUUAUUUCAUGCACCUGCAGUUCAGAUUUGAAAUAUCCGAAAAAAUCAAAAAAAUGAAAUAAAUUAAGAAAAUAUAUAAAAAGAUUCAAAAUUGGACCAAAUUUUAAAAUUAGGUUCAAAAGAAUGUAUUGUGGCACCACAAAAAAGAUGGCUAAAAAACAAAAAAUAAAAAAAAAUCUUUGCCGAGGGCCUAGCCCAGCCCUCGGCAAAGGGGGUCUUUGCCGAGAGCCUGGCAUGUGGCCCUCGGCAAAGACUAUUUAUAAAAAAAUAAGAGUAAAGUCCAUCAGCGGUCCCUAAAUUUGUUCGGAUGUGUCAUCCCGGUCCUUAAACUCGCAAAAUGACCGUUUAGAUACCUAAACUUGUUCGGUUGUGUCAUCCUGGUCCCUAAACUUAAAAAUCUUCCAUAUAGGUCCUCAAACUUGUUCAAUUGUGUCAUCCCGGUCCCUAAACUUGUUUUUAAGUCUUAUCUGGGUCAAAACAGGACGAAUCUAAAAACUCUAUAUUGAAAAAUAAUUCAUAACUUUUUCAUAUGAACUCAAAUGAAGAUAAACUUUAUAUCAAAAUUGUAGGCAGCAACAUGAUCUACAACUUUGCAGUUGAAAAGUUUUUAAAUUAAAAUCGUUUAGGUUCCCAAAAUAUUUUUUAUAAGUUUAUAGAUUUUAAAAUUUAAAAUUUAAAAUCAAAUUUUAUAACACUAAACGACUUUAAAUAAAAAACUUUUCAACUACAAAGUUGUAGAUUGUGCUGAGGACUAUAACUUUGGUAUAAAAUUUGUCUUCAUUUGAGUUCAUAUGAAAAUGUUAUGAAUUAUUUUUUGAUAUAGAGUUGUUAGAUCGCUUUGUUUUGACCCAAAUGAGAUUCAAAACCAAGCUUAGGGACCGAGAUGACACAACUGAACAACUUUGAGGAUCUAAACGGAUGAUUUCUAAGUUUAGGGACCGGGAUGACAUAAUUGAACAAGUUUAGGGGCCGAGAUGACACAGAUGAACAAGUUUGAGGACCUAAACAAUCGAUUUGUGAGUUUAGAGACCGGGAUGACACGACAGCACAAGUUUAGGAACCAGUAGUGGACUUUACUCAAAAAAUAAUUUUGGGUCUAAAUAUGGGAUUAAAAAAACUUUGCCGAGGGCCUAACGGCCGUCCCUCGGCAAAGACUGACGAGCCUCGGCCGUCGUGACCCAACGGGCCAAAUUUGCCGAGGGCCAUGGCCCUCGGCAAAGAUUGUCUUUGUCGAGGGUCUUUCUUUGCCUAGGGCCUGGCCCUCGGCAAAGGCCUCUUUGCUGAGGGCCAGUCUUUGCCGAGGGCUCUUGGGGCUGGCCCUCGGCAAAGAGUGUCCUUUGCCGAGUGCCCGAGAUGUGGCCCUCGGCAAAGCCUCAGGCUCUCGGCAAAGCCUCAGGCUCUCGGCAAAGGACGCGUUUCCAGUAGUGCACACCUGGUAUCUAAUUUUAGUUUCACAUUUUAUGUUUCCUGAACCUUCUCCUCCUCCGAAUUCUUGCUUCUUGCUUUCCCAACUUCUGUAAUUCUGUACUUUGCCCUUGUUUUGUUUUAAUAAAUUUGCAUUAGGAGGCACUGGCUCCUCUUGAUUCCUAAAAAAAAAGUUGCACAUGUGAAGUCAUGGAUAAGAGCUUCUUAAGCACAAAUAGAGAAAUUGGUGUAACGUAUAUCUAUACGUACGACUGUACCAACAUAUGGAUGUAGAGCAAACAUUUUCAGGUCAGCCACACAUGAUAUCCAUCUUGUAAAGAAAACUUUAUUAUGUCUAUUACCUUGUCCAAAACGAUUUUCUUUACGGGUACAGAGUAGUACUGUCACGCAGGGUAUGUAAAGAACCCUUAUUAUUUCGUAAUGCAAUACUAUGUAAGGAAGCUUUAUUAAUUUUAAGAUCAAGUUGAUAAAUAAAAGGACACUCACUAUCUUUAAAACCACUAAUAACAAUAAAAUAUACCCUCUUCUUUUCUUUACAGUUAGAGUAGUGUGUGGUGUUUUUCAUUCAUGUGUCCAUAAUGGACUCUCAGUAGCUCGAUGCCUCGAUAGAAUGUGGGCUGGUUGGCGGUUGGUAGCCGUAGAUCUCGUCGUGAGUGAGAGCAAAUAUAUAUAGCAGCACCAACCAUACAAUAAUGUGCUUGCGUGCAUACAUCGCGACCGAACUAUAUAUACAUAAACGUUUUUCAUUAUCGACCAACUAGGCAAUGACAGAUGUGACGACAUUCGGCCUUAAGAAUUUGACGAAGCUCUGUAUCUAUAUAAGAAGAGCUAGCGUCCAUCCGUCCACUGUACCGUCCACAAGAUAUAAUUAAAGGCUGUGCUUCUUCCGCCUGGUUGUAACAGACUAACAGUAAGUAGUCUGUUUUUCUCUCUUCGUUUGAUGUGUUAUUGAGCAUAAUUAGUAUAUAUAUACUAGUGCGCCAAGCCAUGCUUAGUACCUAUAAGAAAAUGACAAGAGAAAGCACGAAGUUCAGAUACAUAAAACUCACGAAAAUUUCUUAUAUAUGUGUCCGGGCUCUCUCUCAGUUCAUUUUCUAAUGCCAUCUCUACAUGUUGUGAUGAACUUACCUAUAUGAUUUUUGUAUCCUUAUGUAUAUGUUUUCUUCCCCUACAUGCUAUGACACUUAAUGUGUCUAUAGAUAGAUAGGUAGUCCUCCUGAUGUGUUAUUUGUAGUUCUGUUUUUUCACACUUCACUAUUUCCAAUUGUUUUGGUGCAGGGCUUAUUGCUGCAUCAAAUUCAGUGAGCUUAACAUACGGUGUGAUCAUAUGGUAAUGGAACCUGCUGCAGCAUGGGGACCUUCUUGCGAGUUUCAGCUAGCAAACUGGACCGUUGAAGAACCAGCUGCUGAAGUUUGGGCUCCAGCUGUUGGCCUCCCUCUGGAGUAUGCAUCCAGCGACAUAUUUGGUACCUGUCCCCAGGCAUAUGUGCCUGAAUCGAUCGGAGAAAAGCAACUGGUUGAGUUUGAGUACAACUACUCUUCAGCCUCACGGCAUAACUUGUCGCCUGAGGCUAUCGUCGUUGAUGGGCAGAAUCGGCAUGAGGUUGUGGAUCCGCAGAAAUUGGAAACAAGGAUUGUCGUCUCCAACGACAGCUAUGCUACAAAUGUGUUCAAUCAAGUAGAGCACGCGUUCAAGGUUGAUAUAAACCUGAUGGCAGAGAAGAUGCAUAGAUACCCUGCCGGACUUGGAGAUACUAUCGGUGAAAGUUAUACCGUGCCAAGGAUUGUGGCCAUCGGCCCUUACCACCACCACCGAGACCAUCUCAAGCAGGCAGAGAAGGUGAAGCACAUGGCUGCCAUAUGCUGCGUCAAGGAAUCUGGACACCUAUUGGAGGAGAUGUAUGCUGCAGUCGCCUCCAUAGCGGACAAUGUUCGCUGCCUCUACGACAAGGAUGUGAUGGCAGGUAUCAGCUGUGUAGACUUCCGAGAUAUGAUGUUCGUUGACGCUUGCUUUUUGGUGCAGUACAUGAGUAUGCGGAGUCGCCAAAAAAUAGAUAACAGCUUGCAUGGUUUCCUGAGCUUUAACCGCAGCAACAUCCAUCAUGACAUCAAGCUGCUCGAGAACCAGCUUCCAUGGAAGGUGGUUGAGGUGGUGAUGAGGUUCAGGCCCGUGCCCUUGCAUCGCUUCAUGGCUAUUUUGAAAGAAUAUCUGCAGGACCGUAAGCCUCCCAAAGAAGAAGAUCCUGUGUUCAUUUUGGAUAAUAGCUACAGACCACCACAUCUCCUUGGCCUCCUCCACUACUACACUGUAGGAAGGAGCAGGUACACUUCCGAUCGGACAGUGAGACCCAAGGGCCAAUCGGAUUCCGUCAGUGCACUUGAGCUUGCCAAGAUUGGCAUCACGAUCACGGCCAACGAGUCAAUGGAGCUCAUAGACAUGGGCCUCAGCCAGAAAGGGACCCUCUUCGCGGAGCUCUCCAUGGCGCCCCUGACACUGGACCGUGACCGUGCAAGCUACCUCCUCAACAUGGCAGCUCUGGAGCUAUGCAUGGUGAAAAGCUUUUCAAAAGCGGCAGUCGAAGACUCUGCUGUCUGCUCCUACCUCUUGCUCCUGGCCAACUUGGCACAUAGGCAGGAGGACGUGCACGAGCUACGGGUGAGUGGUCUCCUGCAGGGAGGAGGAGGCCUCACCGACGAGGAGGCACUCCGGUUCUUCACUAAUCUUCGGAAUAUGCGCCAUGGAAGAUCCUACGACCGUGUCAUGGCACAGAUCGAGGUUUACAAGGAGAGCAAGUGGAAGGAGGCCAAGGUCUAUGCGUUCUAUUACAAAAACAAGAAAACCAUUGCUGCGUUUGUCACCGGCAUCGGUGCACUUGUUGGGAUCAUAGGGACACUCUUGUCAAUCAAGAAAUCUUUAUGAUAUAUAUUAGCAAAUUUGUCCGUGCGUAGUCAACAUGUGCAGCGAAAUGGAACUGAAAUGCUAUAGUACAAACAUCCGGCGUAGUCAAGGUGUGGCUGUGGCCACAACUUUAAUUUGAUUGUGGCUCUGCCCUGAGACCAAGUGUGUAUAUGUUGUCAUAACCUAUGUGUGCAAUGUAUGAUGUCGCCCAUCUGCCACAACUUUAAUUUGAUCAUAGUUUGCCCUUCUUCCUGAAUUUCCAUGCUAACAUUCCCACAUGGAUUUUAUCAUAGUUUAUCCUUGUGCCUGAAUUAUAUAUUGCCCUAUUCAAAUACACGCAUAUCCUUGCUUUUAGCCAAAUUAAUACCGAAUUCGAACUCUUGAUGAAGACCACCAGCAUUCUACAGGCCUGAUGAACCACAAACUAGUCAUACAAUCAAGUCAUAUGUGCAUAUGAGUGCAGUGAAUGAAAUGAGUGAUAAGAACGAUGGUGAUAAACUGAUAAUAAAGGGUGAUGACUGAUGGUGAAGAUCUAGUUCUACAUUUGCUCCUUGGGGAUAACAUACCUCCCUAAUCUGAAAAUAAGGAUUUGGAUACUUUUUCUUUCUUUUGGGACUUUUGUCCUAUUUGUUUUCUUUUCUUAGAAUAACCAAUCCUUUUAAUGCACAACUGAAAUAACUGGAGCUUUAUUGGAUAAGUAGAAAAAGACAUAAUAGCACUGAAUAUUUUUGGGAGAGUACAGAACCAUGAUAAACAUUCCUCGUCGUGAAUGCGCGCUUUAAUCUAUGAGAUUGUAUACUUGAUAUAGUGAUUAUUUAGUAGUUAUAGUUUUAACUUUCCCAUAAAGCUUAGACAGUAUGGGCUUCCAUAUUAAUUUUAUUAUCCAAAAAAGGCCAAGGAUUCUUUAUGUUGUACCUACUGCUUUCAGUGUAAGGUAGUGAACGUGCGUGCUUCUUUGCAUGCAUGCUAUGUGCAUCCACACCUUUAUGCAUUAUAAAGAAUUCAUAAUGCUGAGCUGCUUGAUCCUUGAUCUUGCUAGCUACUAGUUUGUGUAUAUAUGAAUUGUAAAAUUUAUAUUUACGUUCUGCAUAAUCUAUCUAGAAAUCAGUUUAGUAGCGCCUGCUAGGAGGUGUCAAAUAUAUGACAUCAAAUUUACAUUGACACCCGGUGUCUAACUUUAUACAUUGAUUGUGAUGAAAGAGUUGCAUGUGAAGUCAUGGAGAAGAGCUUCUCAUGCACAAAUAGAGAAACUUGUGUAACAUAUACCUAUACCAAUAUAUGGAUUUAGAGCAACAUUUUCAGGUCUCGGGCAUACAUGAUCCGCCCGUGCCCUUGAAAAGAGCACAAAUGAACUUCAGAGGUAUUUAUUAUUAUGUUUUCAUAGCUCCAUUAAUCAAAAAUUUGUAUAUGGGUUUAGCAGGAGAUUACUUUUUGUUGGAAUUGGGGAAGCUUCUGGCUGGCUCAAUCGCCUAGCCGGCUAGCCCUGACUCUCUCUAUUCUUAUCUUCAUAGUUUUACACAUAGACCCUUUUAUAUUUCCAUAUUUUACACCAACACUUUUAUUAAAUCAAUCGUAAGCAAGGAGAUAGUUGUUAAAAAUUAAAAUACGUUGGAUGAAUAAAAUAGAAUUAUAUGUUGAGUCAUGAUCGGGAAUCAUCCAAUACUCUAGUUUAUCCAAAAGUUCGGUUGAACAUUUAAUCGAGUCAUUAUAUUUUGUCACACUGACAGACACCAUCAGAACACUGGCAGGAGCAGAAGCAGGAGAGCGAAGAUCACGUAGGUGGAAGCGCUACAAUUGUGACACUCAAACUGCGUGCUGCACAGGACACACGUGAGCGAAGAACACGUAGGAGGAAGUGCUACAAUCCUGACAUUCAAACUAUUCCACAGGACACACUCACGAGCGAAGCAAAAGACAACGGGUAUCAAAUGACCAACGCAAGAAGCAUUUUUAUAAGGACUAUGGUGCAGAAUAGCACUCGCCUUAAUUUUGACCCAUCAGUUAUAAACUCCUACCCUGCACAUCUGAAGCCACCCAUACAGGCUAUCCAAGGAUUUGAUAGGUCAACCAUCUUAGUUACUGGAUAUGGUUACAUAGAUUGGUCCCGGAGGAAAGCUUAAACAUGCCCUGUUACUUCCUGACUCCACUAAUCUGAUGUGCCUUGGCUAGCAUACUCGGGAUUACCCACUGAAGGUAGUGUUCUAUACAGACAAGUUCUGGAUUGAGGGGCUUCAAAACCGGGAGAGGACUGGGGAAGGCCAUCGGGAGGACGUCAAUCACUAUGUGUCGUGGACUGUUUCCAGCGAGACAGUCUCCUUAUCAACAAAAGAAAACUGUCUAUGAAGAAAGCCAGGCAGUAUACUCGUUGACCACCGCAGUGAUAAUUUUUCGGGACCGGUGGCUGAGCUUAGUUUUGUUCAUUUAAGCAAACAUGGAGUCUUAGGUCGUGUCUCUCUGACAUGGUGAUCCUGGCGCGGAUCAGAGUCACCUGUUAGGAUGAUUGUGCUCUGUCCUGUCAGAGUCGUCAAUAGGAGACACAGGUGGUGUUGAUCAGCUUCUAUGCUGAUUUCCUUUUUUGCUACAGGUUGUACUUGGAUAACUUCUGCUGUUCAUGUGAAGAGGCCUUGUUUAGUUCACCCUAAAAAUCAAGAACUUUUCAAGAUUUCUUGUCACAUCGAAUCUUGCGGCACAAUGCAUGGAGCAUUAAAUAUAAAUAAAAAUUAAAACUAAUUACACACUUUGUCUGUAAAUCACGAGACAAAUCUUUUAAGCCUAGUUACUUUAUGAUUGGAUAAUGUUUGUCAAAUAAAAACGAAAGUGCUAUAAUAUCAAAAUCCAAAAUUUUUUUGAUCUAAACAGGACCUUAUUAGGGGUCCGAAGAGGUAUUUGAAGCAUUACUAUUGCUUCCGUGUCUACCAAAUUGUAUUAUUGUAUCAUUCAGUAUGGUUGUGAUGGCAACCUUGAGUGAAUUUAUCAUUGUGGCACAUAAUUUAUGUAUGGUUGUGCCAUAGCUGUCAUUAUUUAUGUAUGCUUGUGAAGAUGAAUAUUUUUGUAGAAAAUGAGUAUGAAAUGGUGUAAAGGGACCAUGACGUCGAGGGGGGGGGGGGUGUUGAAUUAGGCAACUUAAAAACUGUUUCUAACUAUGGCCUCUAAUUUCAACCUAAGCAAAAGUGUUAUAUAACCUAGAUUGUAAUCCUAUCAACUAAGCUAUAAGAAGGUAAUGCACACAAUCAAGACACACAAUAUAAAUAUGGAAGCUUAAAUGAUAUAGAGAUGGAAACUCCCAUUGAUGACUCGAUCUGGUAUUCUUACCGAAGUAUAUGGAGAAAGGCACAAGUUCUCCCUAGUUCUCAUUGAAGCCCCUCAUGGAAAACCAACCUCUCUAAAAAUAACUUUUUAGUAGCGUUCAAGGAACAGGAUAGGAGAGGGAAGACCUACUUUUAGAUCUAAUCACGUUUAUCCUCCAGAGAUUAGCCAAUGUCAUUAGUUCUACGUGUUAGUGCCGUAGCAUUCGUUCUAAUCUAACAUACACAUACCAACACCAUGUGGUACGUACUAGCUAGAGGCCUAGAGCUUGCGCGCGCGAUAUCGAUACAAAUUUUUGCCAGCUCAGUCAAAUGACCCGUCCUGUGAUGUGUGAAUGUGUGGUUAGUACGCCUAACGCACAUGCAUCUAUAGUCUAUAUGUAGCCACUUGCUUAAUAGAGUGAGCAUCAAGAGUGUCGGCAUGAUCAGUUGGCUGUAUAUGCUGUAUGAUAACAUAUGUGUAUCUGUCCUUGUACGUAUGAUAUUAAUUCUUUGACAUGGAAUACUGGACGGCUGGUCCCUACGGUUUUUUAGGAGCAGUACAUGGGUUGGAGCAAUUGAUUAUGCUUAAUUAGGUGGCUCCUUCACUUUGGAUUGUUAUUGUGGUGGUGGUGGUGUGGUGGUUAUCGUGUCCACCGUGCAAUUAUUUGUGUUGAGUAUUCUCUAUUUUUAUUGUUGAUUGCUUAGAGCAAGCCUAAUAGAGCCAAGUAUUUGCAUAUUAGCCAAGUUGUAAUUGCCAAACUAUAUAAUAGUGGUCUCUUAAUUGUCUGAAGGGAACUUUUUAAUUGUUUCUUUUACCUAUGUCCCACUUUCUCUGUUCUUACCCUUCUCACAUUUACUUAAUAUAUGGGUCCACCACUGCCUAUACUUUUGUAUCCAGCUUGUUUUCUUCCAUGAGAGUCAAGCUCUCCUCUCUCUCUCUCCUCUCUCUCCUGUCUUUUCUCCUCCGCAUAUGUAUUUGUUUGGCUAUAAGCCAAUUAUUGUACUUGUUCUUAGUGAAGUCUUGCAUAUAUCAUUUAUCAGGAUCUUGUCUUGUAGGUAUUGGUGGCCAGUUUCCGAAUCUCUUUGAUAAGAACCAUUUACUUCUCUGUCUUUUUUUUUUUGUAUUUUAUGGUUAGCCGUAUAGCAGCUGUACAUCUUGUCGAUCGUAAGUGAGAGCAAGAUAGUAGCACAAACCUGUACAUGCAUGCAUCAAGAUAAUACUAUACCUAAACGUUGUCAUAAACUAAUAUUGGCCAACGUUAUAGAUGACAUUCUGACAGUGGGACUUGAAGCUCUCUCUCUCUAUAUAUAUAAGGUGUCAACAAGCUAAGAAAAAGGCUGUGCUUCUUCUGGCCUGUCUGCAAGUAGUCUCAUUCUCUUCUCAUUUGGUUUCUCAGUUCUCACUAACGUACGUGUUUGCAUGUAUACACGAAACAUUUGUAGUCUCUGUAUGAUGUAUUUCUAAGAUUUAUUAAGUGUAUGACUUCAUUUCCAUUUGUUUUCCUGCAGAGCAUGGAAGCUGCUGCAGCAUGGGACGGACCUUGCGAGUUUCAGCUGGCGAACUGGACCAGUGAAGAACCAGUUGCCGGUCUCCCUGUGGACUAUGCGUCCAUCGACAUACCUGGUGGUGCUUGCGGCCUCCAAGCAUAUGAUGAGAAUGAUGUGCAGCUGCAGCUGCAGCAGCACCUCGUUGAGUACUAUUCUGCAGCCUCACAACACAAUAUUACUACGAGCUGUGAGAAAGCCAAGGUCUCGGACGACAACAGUGAUGCAAGGUGUGUCGCCAAACAAGUAGUGGACCAGUUUAAGGCUGAUAUGAACAUGAUGAAGCAGAAGAUACAUAGAUACCCGGCAUGUCUUGGAACUGUCGAUAAAUCCUAUACCGUGCCAAGGAUUGUGGCCCUUGGCCCCUACCACCAUGGCCUGGAGCACCUCAAGAAGGCGGAGGAAGUGAAGCACGUUGCCGCCUGCCACUGCACCGGGGAAGGCAAGUUACUGAAGGAGAUGUAUGAAGUGUUCAUCCCCGUCGCAGACUGCGCCCGCCAUUUGUACGACAAGGAUGUGAUGGAAGGUAUUAGCGAAGAUGACUUCCGACAUAUGAUGUUCUUUGAUGCUUGUUUUUUGGUGCAGUACAUGCUUAUGCGGGCAUCAAGUCGUUACAAAAUUGAUAAGAGCUUGAAGGGUUUCUUGAGUCCUAACCGCCGCGACAUCUUCCAUGACGUCAUGCUGCUUGAGAACCAGAUCCCAUGGAUGGUGGUCGAGGUAGUCAUGACAUUCUUGAUGCCUAUGUCAUCGAUAUCCAAGAACUUUGUGUAUAAAAUGAGACGUUGUAUGCUACCCAGCGACCAUCGUGAGCCUCCCGAACCAAAGCCUUUUAUCUGGUAUGAAGACUACAAACCACCUCAUCUCCUUGGCCUCCUCCAUUACUACAUUGUUGGACCAUGCACAGCUCUGCUUGGCACCGGUGUCCCUGGACCGUGACUGUGCAAGCUACCUCGUCAACAUGGCGGCUCUUGAGCUGUGCAUGGUCCGAAGCUUUUCAAAAGCCCGGGAACAAGACUCUGCUGUCUGCUCCUACGUCUUGCUCCUAGCCAAUCUGGUAUACAGGGAGGAGGAAGUUCAGGAGCUACGGGAGAGGGGUCUCAUACAGAGAGGAGGAGGGCUCACCAACGAGGAGGCGCUCCGAUUCUUCACCAGCUUCCAGGGUCUGCGCAUGGGACCACGCUACUAUCAAAUCAUGCGAGACAUCGAGAUUUACAGGGACAAUAGGCCGAUGAAGACCAAGAUGCAUUCAUUUCUCCACAACCACAAGAAAACUAUCGCUGCGGUUGUCACCAGCAUUGGUGCGGUUGGCGGGAUCAUAGGGACACUCCUAUCUAUCAAAAGUUCUAUUUGAGAUGUUGUAUCUAUGCUUUAGUUGUAAUUUUUCUAUCUAUAUAUAUGAUUCCUCUGUCUACUCAAAUUGAACAUGGUGUUUGUGUUUUUUUUAUUAAUGAAGCAUUUGAUUGAACUCAGGAUUAAAUACAUCGAGCUGAUACAACCACCUUGAGAUAACUUAUAAAAACACAAUCUAUAAGAGUUCUUUUAAUGUACAAACUAGCUAGUGACUAUCAAAGUCCAUCGCUAGACCAUCACCCACACGAAUGGGCAUUGACAGUGUGAGCUGAUGAUUACAGCUUCAGUUUAGUCCGCAAAAGAUUUAACAACACAAGAGAUUCAUUAAUUUGCUGUCACUAUGCUAAAUUUAUCUCUACAAAGUACAGACUACUUUGCCUGCAGUCUGUACCCUGUAGAGAUAAACUUAGCAUAGUGAUAGCGAGUUAAUGAUAAAUAAACUUGCCGGGAUUUAUUAGCUAAAGCUAGAUGGUAGCACCAACCAUGUGGUUAGUGUAGUGUAUUUUAAUGUUCGGCAAACAAGCCUCUUUGCCAAGUGUUUUUAGACCUUCUUUGCCGAGUAUAAAAAAAACAUUCGGCAAAGAAAAUUUCAAAUAAAAUUCAAGCCCUAAACGAAUUCAAAUAAAAAAGAUUUCAACUACAAAGUUGUCUAAAUUCUUAAGAUCCAUAACCUUUAUUUUGGUCAUUUCUUCAUUUGACAAAGUGAAAUAAAUUUAUUCACAAAUUUUAGAUCUCUCUUAUAGUUUAUGAAACUACAAGAGAGAUAUGUAAGAUUUGUGAAAAAUAUAAGAAUCACCAUGUUGGAUGAACAAAUGAACAAACAAUCAAAAUAAGCUUUGUAGAUCUUGAGAAGUUAUGAAAUUUUAUAGUUGGCAACCUUUUCAUUUGAGUUUAUCUUGUCAUGUAAAACUGUGUCUAAAAACUUUAAAAUUUGAAUUUUUGUGAAAUGACCUCGGAUAGAAAAAAAUUCCUAAAUAAACUCUGUAGAUCUCAAAAAGUUAUGAAACUUUGUAGUUGAUAACUUUUUGAUUUUAAAUCAUCUUAUCAUGCAAAAAGGUACGUUUGAAUUUCUCAAAUUUGAAAUUCAAAUUUUACAAAUGACUUUUGAUGGAGAAACUCCCUAAAUAAAAAUUAUAGAUGUCCAAAAGUUACAAAACUUUAUAGUUGAUAACUUUUUGAUUUAAAAUCGUUUAAGGCCUCAAACAAUCCAUUUACACAUAAUUUGGUAUAAUAUAUAAGGAAUCAAAAUGCAAUAUAGACACAAGUUACAGUGUGGUGCAGUGGUUAGGGAGGGAAACAUGUGAGAGGUUGAUCAGGUUCGAAUCUCAUCGGCUGCAUAGCCGUGUAUCUUGCGCAAAAAAUGCAGCAACUUGGUUUGAAUCUCACCGGCCGCGUAGCCGCAUAUUUUGCACAAAAAAUGCGGCAACUUGGUUUGAAUCCCACUAGCCAUGUAGCCAUGUAUUUUGCGCGAAAAAUGCUACAACUAGCCAUUGGGGGCUUCCCAAAAAAAUCUCUAUUUUUGGGGGUUUUUUUAUACUGACCGAAAAAUAGCACUCGGCAAAGAUCUCUUUGCCAACCAAAAAUUUACCAUAUGGUCUUCACUGAAUGUGAUAUUCGACAAAAACUUUACCAAAUAUAUUUAGACCUUUACCGAGUGCCAGGGACACUCCGAUAGUGUAUAGGUUAAGGGAGUGGCCUAAGUAUGGCACCUGCCAUGGCAUUAGUAAUUAACAAGCCGUGCGCUCGUGCCUAGUUUAGUCUAGGGCCUUGUUUAAUUCCAUCCCAAAAUCUAAAAUUUUUCAAGAUUUUCCGUCACAUCAAAUCUUUAGACACAUGUAUAGAGUAUUAAAUAUAGACGAAAAUAAAAACUAAUUGUACAGUUUGGUCAGAAUUUAUGAAACGAAUCUUUUGAGUUUAGUUAGUCUAUAUAGUUAGACAAUAAUUAACACAAACAAAUGAAUGUACUACAGUGUCCCAACAUUUUUUCGUUGAGGAACUAAACACGGCGUAGGCCAAUAUCCUGGAUCAUAUGGGCUGCUUGUGCCUUCUGUCCAUCUAUACAUGGCAGAUUUGGUGAGCCAUACAAAUUCGUAUUUGAGUAUCCAGGAAUGAAAAGAGGGCCAAACUAUAUGGUAAAGACGGGGAAAUAAGAGAACAAAACUCACGUUAGUCUUUAUGAGAAGUGCUAGGAAAAAUUUUAAAUUGAAAAAGUUCUCAGAGUAACGACAAAUGUCUGAACAUUAAUAUGGCGGUUCCUAAUUAUCAUUGUGAAUGUUUAAUAUUGUCAAUGUUUACUGUACCCAUUUCACAAACUGAUCAUAGAUCAGCUGGGUUCCUUAUGGUGAAACCCGUUCACCCGAGUUCAAGUCCACGACUUGGCACGAGUAUUCGUAUUUUCGUGGAUUUAUUCUAUGAUUUAAUGGCGCUAUACUUUGCUUUCAGUGAUAGACGACGUCCCCGUCGACAACAAGACGCCUAUGAUGACUUUGUGAAUCUCGUGAUGUGCUGGCUCAAUCCUUCAGAGGUGCUCACAGGUUUAGAGUUUACAUACCUGUGUUCAUAGAGGUGUCGACAAGAUGUCUAUGAUGACUUUAUGAAUCUUGAGAUCUGCUGGCUCAGUCAUUUGGAGGUGUUCAUAGAGGUAGGAUUUACAUACAUGUAUUCGUAGGUGUGAGUCUGCAUGCGUUGUGAGUGUCUGUAUUGUACUUUAAAAAAAAUUGCCCACCUCUUCUAUUAUUAUGAAUAUUGAAAUUAAUUCUGAAAUUUACUUUGAAAAUACAUAGCUCCACCGUUAUUAAUAGUAUCUUACUUCAUCUAAAUUACUUAUUUUGCCAGUGACAAAAUUAAUACAAAGUAAUCAAGAAAUUAUAUCUUAAUUACCUGAUCUAUCAUUAUGUAAGAUAAUACAAAAUAAUGACUAAAAUUUGUAUAAUGUAUAAUGUAUAAAUUACCCGACAUGUGCCUUAAAGAAACUAAACUAAAAUUUUCCUCAAAAUCUACAUUAUCUUUUACCAUACAAAUCCUGCACCAAUAUUGGCCAGGUGGAUCGGGCAACGUCGCCCAUUGCGAGCUGUUGGAUUGAGCCAUAUAGUCCGUUCGAAUCAUAAAAAUGGAUUCAAAUAUAUUUGUUUAACACUCAUAUUAAAAUCUAUUGGGACAUGCCAUAUUCAUAUAAGCCAAGUCUGCUAGAAAAGGAUGAACUAGCGCCAUUAGAAUGCAUCCAAAACUCACUCCUAAUAAGGAAUUGUAUGUAAAUUUCUGCUUACCUAUAUAAUACUAAGAACAUGAGGACAAGGGGGACUCUCUUCUCUCCCACUUAUUUUUCAUAAUAAACCCUAGCCACCGCCUCAGUCUCUCCUCUCGUGCGCUGCGACUUUUGUCACAGUCUUCUCCACUGAGCCUCCACCGUGGAGCCUUCUCCAUGGAGCUCUUAUACAAAACAAUAUUUCGUUAGAGGCCUUUGUUCUAGAGCUUCGCCCCAGACCUCCUUCGGGAGACCUUCCUCGGCUGAGCCUUCAUUAAGAGACCUUCAUCAGGUACCUUCAUCUAGGACCUUGGUUAGGAGACCUUCUGAAAGCCCAAGUUUGGUUUUGGUAAUUAAUGACACCAAGUUGCUAAUGCCUUGUGUUUAAGUGAUUUGAGUUAGGCAUAGCAACACAUGUGAUGAAGGUGCAUGGUGGCAUAGAAAGGUGGCCACAUGAUUACAAAGAAAUGAAGCAUGAUGUGGAGAUCAUGAUGAUAGACGAGGAGCAAAGUUAUCAAGGCAAAGGUAUAAACAUAGGGUUUUACUUUUGCCGGUCUAAGAUGAGUAGAGAAGUGAUUGACCGGGUUUAGGAUAGAUAGCCGACUAUCAAGAGGAGAAAUCACGGUCAUCUCUCGAAUCAAGUGCUACUAGGUUCACUUCUUGAGCCUCCUUUGGUGAAAAUGUUUGUGAAAAGCUAACACACAUGCACCUUGGUGGUGGACACUUGUUGGUGUUAGCACAUUUGCAAAGGAGGUGGAGUUCCUAGGGUUUUCGAUGCAUUUUAAUGGCGCUAGUUCAUCCUUUUCUAGCAGACUUGUCCCCAAACACUUGUCCGGUGAGUGUUUGGGUUCGGCGCUUUUGAGAAAAUUAAGUGUAUAUUUUCUUUUGCGCCGGUGGGAAAUUUGGAGAAGUCGCGGAAGUGUUUCUCAGUUGGAAACACUCACCGGACGCUCAGUGCGGAGGCACCGGACGCUGGCCUGAGCGUCCGGUGUGCUGUCAGAGCUUGACUCUGCUAGGGUUGAGCACCGGACGCACUCUGGUAGUGUCCGGUGGUUAGCGUCCGGUGUGAGGGGUUUUUGCAACCCUCUCUGCGCACGAGUCCGGUGAGCACCGGACCGUCCGGUGCCCAGCGUCCGGUGAGGUCGCGAGUUUGACAAACUCUCUGCGCAUGAGUCUGGUGUGCACCGGACACGUCCGGUGUGGACUUGCAGAGCGUCCGGUGUGUUGCAGGUAGCCGUUAGAAACUGACGCGCGAGAUUCAAAGAGAACACGUGGCCUAUCCCUGAGCACCGGACGCUGGGGGUCGAGCGUCCGGUGAUCACUUAGUAGCGUCCGGUGCCCCCGUUUUCAGCCCAGUGAAAACAGCCAACGGCUAGUUUCUUUGAGGGGCUUAUAAAUAGUUGGUGACCGGCUUUGGGAGGUUCUCUCUUGCACAUUUGAUUACUUGAGGCAUACUUUGAGCUAGAGAACACUCCCUCCACUCAUCUCUUUGCUUGAUUGUUAAUCCUAGUGAGAUUGAGUGAGAUUCAAGUGCAUUGCUUUGAGAGUUGCAUUUAGUGGCACUUGAUUCUUGAGUUUGCUGCGGAUUUCUUGUUACUCUUGGGUGUUUCCCGACGCCCUAGACGGCUUGGAGCAGCGGUGGUGUUGAGCUCGUGAUUGGAGAUUGUUUCGAGCCUUACCAAGUGACUUGUGAGGGGUUCUUGAGCCUUCCCCGCGGGAGAUCGCAAUUGGCUACUCUAGUGGAUUGCUCAUGGCUUGGAGGAUCCCCAUCUUGUGAGUGGAUGUGCGGCACCCGCUGAGGGUUUGGCUUUGGAUUGCCAAUUAGCUCGUGAUCCAUCAAGUGGGUGUAUCGCCACAACGAGGAGUAGCUUGCCAGGAAGCAAGUGAACCUCGGUAAAAAAUCUUGUGUCAUCUCUUGCCGAGGUUUCUCUUGUGAUUGUGAGUGAUUGAUUGGAUAUAUCUCUACUCUACAACGUUGUAUAACAAUCACUCUCCUCUCUUUACUUACUUGCCUACCUUGUUAGUUUAGCUUGUGUAGCUUAGUUCUUGUUAGUUUAGAGUUGUUGUGUAGCCUUCUCUAGUUGUUGUGGUUUAGUGUUUAGCCUUCUUGCUAGACUUGUAUAGGUGGCUUGCAUAGCUUAGUUGUGCUAGUGCUAGAAUAGCUUCGCCACUUAUUUUACUAACUCACUUGUUUAGUAAAGUUUGUAAAAUUUUAAAUAGGCUAUUCACUCCCCCCUCUAGCCAUUUGGACCUUUCACCUUCUCUCGCUGGCUUUCUCCAGCCGGCCUUCGUCGGCAGCCUUCUUCUGCCAGCCUUCGCCAUAAGCCUUCUCCUGCCGGAAGCCUUCUCAUGCCAGCCUUCUCUAGCCGGCCUUCGUUGGGACCCUUGUCCCAACAAAAUCGAUACGGACAUGGAUAUCCAUAUUGACCCUAAUACCGAUAUAAAUGUUAAUCUUUAGGAUAUCCGGAUCCGUUCCUACUUCAUAUGGACACGCAAUCGCGCUGCCUGCCGCUGUUGUCAUGCAUAUAUACUGUACAUUCAACAGGGCAUCAGGGCAUUGAAUGUCAUUCAUGUUGAUUUGCUACCUUUCCUUUCGAGCACAUACAACUUUGGAUAUACUAGACUUGUUUAUAUUGACAUAGCAGACAUCGGCCUGAGCUUGCUCAAAGCUAAUCCUGGACGUUGAAAUAUAUAUACAAAUAGCUAGCGUGGAUAUGAAUCCACCUACCUCCAUGAUUGGUGAUACCAUCUGUAGCCCACACUCAAUAUAAGAUGUCGAGCUACGGCCAAACACAUAAUAUCGUAUAAACUCAUUAGAAAUUAGGGGGGCAGGUACGGUGGAGAUGACUUGAAGACAGAAAAAUGACAGGAUUAGCAAGCAACAUCAUUGUAUAGCUAUAUAAGUUAGCCUAAUGAUGUAUACCAAGAGUUUAAGACACCGACUAAUAACUAAUCUCCCAUAUGCAGGUAGCCAAUGCAACAAUUAAUAUUCAGUCACAAAGUUAAUUAUUUUAAGCCUGUCUAAUAACUCCUCAUUCUAUGCUCAUAUCUACAUUUAUAUAUAGUUCUAGAUCAAAACUUAAUUAUUGAUUCAAGAACUAACUAUUAGACCAUCAAAUUGAGACAUGGAAGCUAAAUUAUUUUCCCUACUCAAUUUACCCUAAUUAAGGCCUCUAAAGAUUUAUGUAAAUUUCAGGUUAAUUGCUGCAACGAUGCAUGGAGAGAGAAAUGAAAAAACUAAUUAAGAAUGUAAUCUAGCAGUAAACUUUAAAAAUAUAUUUGGAAUGGCAUACACUUGCCUUUUAGAGUCACCCAUUCCAAUGAAAUCAAGAGCUGAACUUCCCGCCACUCUUGUGAUGAGCUACCCCUUCUGUUUCUCGGGAUGCAGUUCUAUUCCAAGGAGGAAAAAGGGGGCUUCUUAUAUUCGGCCCCUAUAUUUUUGGAGGAAGCCAGUUGCUUUACAUUAGCCAUCCUUGCAAAUCAGUUUCCAAGGGCUGCUGCUGUUUCUUGACACCUCUAGCUAGAAAUGACCCAUAUUUUAAAAUAGCAGAUGGUAUUUCCAAGCUUCCUGCUUGCUCCUAAGGCAGAGGGCAUUUGUUGAUGGAUCCAGCUCCAGAAUAAAAUAAGGGCCAUAUGAAAAUCAUCGCUAUAGUAGCAUACGCUAGCUAAAGAUGAAGCAGAAGAUUAAUAUGGAGCGAAAACUUUAAUCGCCAAGGACAUUAACAGUUGGAGCAUCUCACAGCAUGGUAGCUAGACCAGUGCACGUUGGGAGUUUUGAGCGUCCCUAACGCUCUGUUUAGAUUGCUGAUAAAAAUUUUUUAGAUGUCACAUCGGAUGUGUCGGAAGGAUGUCGGAAGGAGUUUUUAGAAACGAAUAAAAAAACAAAUUACAUAGCUCGUCAGGAAACUGCAAGACAAAUCUAUUAAACAUAAUUAAUCUGUCAUUAGCACAUGUGGGUUACUGUAGUACUUAAGGCUAAUCAUGGAGUAACUAGGCUUAAAAGAUUCGUCUCGCGAUUUUCAACCAAACUGUGUAAUUAGUUCAAUUUUUUAUGUACAUUUAAUGUUCUAUGCAUGUGUCUAAAGAUUCGAUGGGAUGGAUUAAAAAAUUUUGGAAGGCAAAGGCCGUAUGACAAGUGCAGCAAUGGCCGAUCGAGAUGACAGCUAGCGGCUAUGGUUUUUACGUUCCUCUACACACAAACACGUGCAUGCACCUGCCACCUUGCACACUACUGGUCCCCAUCUGCAACUUGACCUUGUAGCUGUAGAUUUUGUCGUGACUGCAAACUAGAUAUAUAGUACCACCAACUAUAUGCAUGGGUGCAAGAAUAUAUCAACGAUGUCAUACAUAAUCUGACUUGGCAACGAUAGACGACAGCGGAUCUGCCACAUGAAUUGAUGCUCGAUCUAUAAGUGGGGAGUCGACUAGGCUGUUCUUCAUGCCCUGCUGUAAGUUUUUCUUUCACUUUCUCUCUUCGUUGUCUUUGAGUCACCACUAUUUUGUGUUUCUAAUUAACAUGACAUUGUCCUUUUCUUUGUGAUCUAUGUAUAGAUCUUUUUCAUCUAACACUUCCAACUUUUUGUACAGUACUCUUCAUCUCACUGAUUGGAUCAUGGAGCCAACUGCAGCGUGGGUACCUUUCAACGUCCAACUGUCGAACUGGACCAUGGAAUAUGCAGGAUGGGAUCCUGGCUACCCUGUGGAGUCAGAGUCGACUGAAAUGGUUGAGUUUGAGUAUGCAGCAGCCACAGACGAUGAUUCCGUUGACAAAGAAGAUCAACAAGAGUUUGAGCCUCACUUCCAUAAUAUGGGAAUGAAGAUCCCAAUCAAUCCUAUUCAUGUGUUUGAGGAUGCAGCACGUGAGUUCAAGGUUGAUAUCGACAUGAUGAAGAUGAAGAUCCAUAAGUACCCUCCGAGCAUCCAAGUUUUCGAUAACAAAUUCUUUACUGUCCCAAGGUUGGUGGCCAUUGGGCCUUACCACCAUGGCCAGAACCAGCUCAAGCAGGCUGAGAAAGCCAAAUAUGUGGCUGCCUACCACUGCAUCAUGGAGUCGGGUCACUCAGUCCAAGACAUGUAUGAUGCCGUUGUCACCGCCGCAUACGAUUCCCGCAGCCUUUACGACAAGGAUGUGAUGGCAGAUAUCAGCGAAGACGACUUCCUUCAUAUGAUGUUCUAUGAUGCUUGUUUCUUGGUGCAGUACUUUGCUCUCAGCACGAAUGGUUCGAGCACCAUGGACCCAUCGUUGCGUGGCUUCUUCGACUUCAACCGCAAGGCCAUCCGCCAUGACAUUGUGCUGCUCGAGAACCAGAUCCCCUGGCGUGUUGUAGAGGCUGUCUUGAGGUUCAGGCCCGUGGAUCUGAAAGCCUUCGUCGCGUUCUGGAAGAAGUACCUGCAGGACCGCAAGGUUGUCGUCGAAAAGCCUCUUGUGUUGGAUGAUAGCUUCGAGCCACCACAUCUCCUUGGCCUCCUUCGGUUCUACAUUGUGGGAAAAGGCAACACCAAGACACCCAUUGAAGUGAAAACCAACACGAUAUCAUUUUCUGUGAGUGCCAUUGAACUUGCUGAAAAUGGCAUCAAGCUCAAAGCCAAUGAGGAAGAAACAACCGAGCUCAUCCACAUGGGCGUCAACAAGAGAGGGAUCUUUGCUGAGCUCUUCAUGGCGCCGCUGUCGCUGGACGACGAACGUGCCAGCUUUCUCAUCAACAUGGCAGCUCUCGAGCUAUGCACGACCUCGAAUUUCCAAGAAGCUGAGCCUGAAGAGUCUGCAGUCUGCUCGUACCUUCUCCUAUUGUCCCUGCUGGUGCACAGGGAGGAGGACGUGCAGGAGCUCCGGACGAAGCAUCUCCUGCAAGGAGGAGCAGGGCUCGUCAACAAGGACGCUCUUACAUUCUUCACGAGACUUCAGAGCCUGCCCCUACGUGGAUCCAACUGCUAUGUCCGCAUCAUGAUGGAGAUUGAGAAGUACAAGGUCAAUAGGCAGAUGCAGAUCAAGGUCCAUGCGUUUUUUUACAAGAACAAGAGAACCAUCUUCGCGAUAUUCUCCGUAGUUGGUGUACUUGUCAGUAUCUUAGGGACCCUCAUGUCUCUCAAAAAGCGUUCUAUGGUUUAACUGCCUACUUCUUGGUGGAAUUGUCGGUGCACGGCUCCAAUCCCUCAAGGGUUCAAAUAAUACUGAUAUGCACCUAUAUAAGUAGGUGAUUGAUUUUCAUUUUAAGGUGCUGUUUGGUUCACUUAUUUGUAACAUCAUCCGAUUAAUUAAUACGCUGGUAACAGAGAUUACGUGCAAUUGUGUUUGUUUCAGUCCGACUUUAUUUAAGUCAUGCAUGCUGCAAUCAGAUACCGCACUGUAAAAAUUCUUUGUUACCCUGCAGGCUGUGCGUCUUUUAAUUCUCUGCUCCGCAUGUUGGACGAGGCCCCACUCAAAGACGUCAGUGGAUGGCUUGCGUCAGCCUCUAUCCAUUUCCAUUACCGUGUGGAAAACAAAUAAAUCGAGUGAUUUAUUACUUUAUUAAUGUUACAUGUCUCUUUCAAUAACUUUGGUGUUCGCGUUAGGGCACUCUAAUAGAGUAUUAAUGGUAGUUUCUAUCCAUAAUAAAUAACUAGCCAGCUUAGCAAAAUGCUGACAUGGCAGGCUAAUUAAUGAAGAAAGCGGUUGGCCAUCUCGCUCGCUCACCUGCACUGCACUGCUGCGCUCCAUCGCCGGUCACCGUCCUCUCUCGCCCACACCGCUACGCGCCUACGCUCACUCGCCUUCCAAACUAUAGACAGUGUAUUUCGUAUUUUGGUCUAGGUGUGGCCGCACCCGGUAUGAUCCGCCGCCUAUGGCUACGCUCACUCGCCUUCCGACGUUGACGUACUUGGCUGCCACGGCAACGGCAUACUCAGUUGCACGGCCGCCAUAGUGCUUGCCGCCUAGUACAUCAUACGCAGUGAUGUGUGUGGUGCGACGUCCACAAGCUUGCGGAGCAGCCGGUCAAAGUUGCUUAAUUUCUAGCUUGAGAAGUACACCAUACGCGGCGACGGCAUACUCGCUCGCCUGUGCGGCCGUGCUCGCUCGCCGGUGCCGAGCAAGACGAUGGACUUAGGAGAGAGAAAGAAGAAAAAAAAAGGGGUAAUAUUUAUUUGGGAAAGAAACCUACAUUGGGUGAAAUAGUUUCUGUAGAUGAUUUCUUGUUGACGUGGCACUCGGGAAACCGUGGAUAGUUUCAACCAUUGGGACUGCCUACAGCUUCUAAAGCAAACACCAUGUAAAAUAAUAUAUACAAAAGUAAUAAAUGUCUAGGCGCGGAUGUUAUAUAGUCCCUCUUUCCAAAUAACAAGACGUUUUGGCAUUUUUAUAUACAUUGUUUUAACUAUAUAUCUUUAUACAUAGCGAAAAAAUAUGUAUUUUGAAAAGUCAAAACGUCUUAUAAUUAUAAUUUAGAAUGGAAGGAAUACUAUAUUCCUCCGAAAGAUUCGCUGUAUUCAAAUCAAUUUUAUAUUGUGAAAUGCUGGAGCUAUCUCUUGUACGUAUUGUGUCAGUAUUGUCUUUUUGCCUAUUCAUCAUGGAAUUUGGAACUUAGUGGUAUAAGGGAUUGGUCAUACAUUGUCUCUGUUAUAUUGAAUUUCCUUAUAUUUAGCAUUUCAUUACUCUUUUUGUCCACAGAAAAGUACAAACGCCUAGCGAGGCUAGGUGACGUCUAGAACAAAUGCUAGCAGCUAGACAGUGCCCAUACAAUGCCUAGCAUAUAUUCAAAUAGUGCCUGUUGAUACUAAAUCUGCUUUAUACUAUAUUGAGAUGGCACUCCACUGCACCGUACCUACCCGGCACGAGCUUGCUCAAAACUAGUCCGAAUUAGGUCAUAACAUCGUUUAAGUACACUUUUUGUCUCGAUGCAGCACUUACCUCCCACAUGGGGUUCUAUAAAUAUACGGUAUACAGUAGUGCUCAGGAUUGCUAAGGCCCUGUUUAGUUUAUUCCAAAAACCAGAAACUUUUUAAAAUUCCCUAUCACAAGGCCUUAGUAUAUAAGAUGUACAGAUACAACGAACUACAUUACUUUAUGUCGUAUCCACUCAUUAGAUUUUGUAGCGAGUUGUUGUUUCUUAAGGGGUGUGGGUGGAGAAGGCUUGAAGAAAAGACAAUGAGUUGGCAGGCAACACCAGUGAUCUAGAUCUGUGAAUUACAAGGGAGAUGGGUAGCGAGUGACCAACUUGCAUGUCCAAUGGCCAAACAAUUAAUAAUAUAGACAACACUGUCAAAACACACUGGCCAAACAUUCUCAGAAGAUUAUAAACAGUGCAAACAUUAUAGGACCAAAGAUACCUGUAGCACUACGUACAGGCGGCUCAGUAGCACACCCUUCCUUUCCUGCACAUCACCCACAGUGCUGUUGGGAAAUGCGUUCUACACCUCCUAACAGCACGUUGGGCGAGGAGACUGCUCACGCGCGGCAGUGAGCAGCUUUGUGGUUGCAAUCAAUGGGCUCAGUGCCCAGAACAGUAGGUAAGAAUCGUAAAUGAUCUCUAGGCUAUCUCUCUCCCUUAAAAGCAGUUACAUUCCCUUUAUAUAGGGCACGGAUGUCGACUUGGGCCUAUUACGCCCCGUGACGGCGGGGGAAUAUCCUGGCAUAUUCUUUCGCUGCAGUCUACUAAUCGUGGGGUCAUUCAAGUAAUUUCGAACCACGAGCUCCACGUGCGCUGUCUGCUUGGGACUCGAGCUUGCCAAGGCUCGAUCCUCCGGUCGGCCGCCGAUCCUUCGACUCAGAAGUGCCGAAGGUUCCUCGUCGACACCGUGACCCUCGCGUCGUCCUUGGACAUCCUUCAGCCUAUCCUCCGCCACAGGAGGAUCCGAAGGUCCCCUCCUUCAUUCCUCGCGGUCUCCGCCGCCAGCUCGGUUCCUGCAUCACAAUACAUCACACGAGACGCGUUAUUGUUAGCUUCGCCUGGGACCUUCGUAUUCUAUCGUCCAAAGGUCCGGGGGACGAAGGUUUUCGGCGACGGCAGGUCUCAGAUGCGGCCAGGCAGGGGAAGGCAAGGUCAAGCCCCCAACAAGUGCAAAGGUACUAAGUGAGCCUCCCAGCUGCUCGCUCACUUGAAAACUACAUUAAGAUAGUAAUUAAAUGUAAUCAAUUUGCAAAGAAGCCAUAUGCAAAUAACCUAACACUACUAUAUAAAUGAUUUUGCGAGACACAAUCCAAACAUUAAAGAGACGAUCACAAAAUUUGUCUGUCUUAUAAAGUACUCCCUCUCUCCCAAAAAAGUGAUGUUCUAGGAUUUUUUAAAUAGAUUAGUGAAGAGAAAUGUCCCCAAUACCCUUAGUAUAUCACACAUGAUUCGCUUAAAAGAUGGGAUGUUGUAUGGUUUACUUCCUAAUUGAGACGCGUUGUAUGCAAGCAUGCAGAGACCUGAGGCGAGGCAGGAAACAAAUAGUACUCCAUCUCGAUUGGUAAUUUGGCGUUGGAUCAGUGGACCAACUGCGUGUUUAAAAUUCACGUCAUUUUUCUGGGACAAAUUUUAAAUCACAGAACUUCACUCUUUUGAGACUGAGGGAGUACUUGAGAAUUUUUAGAUGUUGUCUUACGGAGUCGGUCACAAAUUACUCGUCAGUCAAAUUGUAUUUACAGAGGUGGAUAUUUUAUUUACAACAGUCACAAAUUGCCCAUCUCCCAAAAUGUCUUUAUAGAGACAGUCACAAAUUGCCCGUCUCUCAAAAUCCAUUAACAGAAGUGGACCUUCAAAAAUGUAGACCAUUUUUGUAUGAUGACUAUUAAGAGGCCCGCCUCAAAAAACCUGAUGGAAGCCCACCAUUCCCAAUAUGAUGGUCAUGUAUAUCAUCAGAAACUAGGGUUUGGAAUUCCUCCCCCGCACACCUCUCAUCCCCUCCUCAGCGCCCUCCCCCACGCCUCCCUCUCCUCUCUCCCUCAUCCAUGAGCACAGGAGCAACAACGUGCUGACUCGGCAAUAGCCAUGGAGAGGUUAGGGUGGCACGUGUUGGGCUCCUCCCAUUGAUGCACAAGGGUCGUAGAUCCGGGUGGCGGCAGCCGCACAGACCUUAGCAACGAUGAUGAGCUGCGUGUAGUCUCGCUGGUGGGCUCAAAUAUGGGCUCACUGGCAAGCCUUUUUAGUUUUCUAAAACUAUUUACGCAAAUGGGCACUUCGUCCAUCUCGAUUCUUCGGGGAGGCAUUUUGGUCUUCUCUAUGAAACUCGAUUAACACAGGCAUUGUAUUCGAGGUGGAUGUGAUGCCCGCCUAGGAAAAUCAUUUUUGACCGCCUAGGAAAACUAUUCUUGUGCUAGUGUAAGUAGCGGUCUAGAGGGACAAUUCGACACAAAUCUAGGAUUCAUUUUCCUUUGGCAGCGUGACAUGUGAUUCCAUUAACUAUUGUCGCGAUGUCUAGGCCUAGCUCCACCACCGCAGCACCACUAGUUCAGCAGCCAUGCUCCCAUAAGCAACAAGCAGACAGAAUGGAAGCUAAAUCGGCACUGAUGAGCCCCCUCAUCACUGCUGAUUUAGCUGUGUCGGUUGAUAAAACCGGUAGUGAUGGGCAUUUUGAGCUGGCAGUGAUGUUAAAUCUAUAGUAGUGGCUGCAGAUUGUUCUCGACUUCUGUCUCGCCAGGUGAUUAGCUGAACUGGAGAACUGAUCCCUGAUCAUCAUCGCAGCAUUGCCCUAAAACACAGAGGCAGACCAGUUUGGUUCUCUUCUCUCCCAUGCAAUUUCUCAAGUGAGAAUCGUAUCUAUCCAUUAAGGUACAGUAAUGUACAAUGUUUUUCCAACAGAUUGUGUUAAUAAAACCAAUCAUGUAAUCGUAAGACUAGUAUGCAUUAGUCAUUAUUCAAGUUCUGAUUGUGAGGUAGCAACCGGUAAGAUAGGAUGCAGAUACUAACUAUAACAAAAGUAAAAGAUCAAAUUAUCUUGUUGUGUUACUUUUACUAAAUAUCUUAUGUUUCUCCAAAUUUCAGUGUCGUGAGAAAUGUGCAUGCUUGUGGGAGUGAAAUAAAGGGGAAAGAGAGAUCGAGUAAAUGAGUUGAUAGAAUCCCAAAGAGGGUCCAUGGACAGAUUUUUUAGGAGCAACACAAGUACUUCAAGAGCACCAGAUGAUGGUGGCUUCAGCUGAAAAAAACCUGAAAAUUUAAAUUGCCGGGGAACCAUUUGUGAUCUACAAUGUCUAAUGAGAGCUUAUGGUUUGGCAACAUUAUGCAAUGAGAAGAAACCAAAUUGCUGGGGACCAUCUACAAUGUCUAAAGAGAGCUUACGGUUUGGCAACAUUAUGCAAUGAGAAGAAACCAUUGGACGAGAUUGAUAUGAUACCAUCAUUAGUGACUUUGCAUCGUAAAAUGUUUGACAAAAAUUCUAAUUCAAUUUAGUAUAUAAUUAGGAUGUGAAUAUUUCUUUUGGAUAUGUGUUGACUAUGGUAACAUUUCAUGUAUAUACGUAUAGUUUGAGUAUUAUUUUUGUCACACUUGGUUAGGUAUAGGUCAAAAAAAACCUAGGACCGAGGCUGGAUCAAACCGAUUGAAGAGGUGUUAGGCCACCUAAAGGGGCACUCAGAUUUAGUUUUAUAAAGAGGAUCUCAUGGUGGAUGCAGAAUGGGUUGGAGAUCCGGAAGUGCAAUUCCCCAAUAUGGAUGAAUCUUCCUAUCUCUAGACUAAUUUUAGUGAAACUUUCCUUGUCGUAUCCAUUGUUAUUUUUGCAUAGGAUAUGGUUUAUUACAAUGGUAGAUCUUAUGGUGAUGGCUGCUAGCUGGCCUUGAUAGGUUAGCCAAUGGCAUGGGCCUACGGCCGGGUUAAUAUAUGCAGAUAUAACUAAUGACAUGAUAUGCAUGGUACUACAGCAUGGUAUUAUUCUACACCGCAAGUCAAAACUAAGUAGAAAAAAUACUGAGCAGUACUGGAGAGUGUUCAGUAUCAACUUGUCCAACACUCAGGACCAUCAAAAACUGAACAAUACUGAAACACGAAUACUGAGCGAUACUGAAUUUUGCUCAGUACAACAAUUUGGUGUAGAAUAGUAUUCUACACCUAGGGUGUAGAAUAGCACUUGUAUAUAUAUAUAUAUAUAUAUAUAUAUAUAUAUAUGUGUGUGUGUGUGUGUGUGUGUGUGUGUGUGUGUGUGUGUGUGUGUGUGUGUGAAUAAGCAUCCAUGAGACCAUGAGGUAGUGCUUCUUAUGCCCCGAUGUAUGUAUAUGUUCCAUUCUCUUCUCUCUUCCUAGCGACAGACUAUUUUUGAUGAAACACAUUUGUCCAUUCUUAUUCUUGCAUACGAUACUGAUUUACAACCGUAUAGUAGAUCUGAUGGUAAUGGCUGCUCACCUCAGAGAGUAGCCCAUGGCAUACGUCUACACCUACACCCAGGUUAAUAAGCACAGAAUGAAGACGACGACAUGCAUGAUUUUCAAGAUAUGGUAUACUAGAGCGUGUGAUUCCAAGUUUUGCCAGCUCAGGGUUCAGCCAUGGUGUGAACGUGUAGUAAGUAUGCUGAACACAUGUACAUGGCCACUUCCUACAGUAAAUAGAUACAAAAAACUAACUAUCAUGGGACACAUAACCGGUUGGUUCUGGUCGUCUAUAUAAUGUUCUAUACACAAGAAGCAUAUCCACAAGGUAGAGCUUCUUCUGUCCAGAUGUAAGUCUUCAAUUCCCUUCUCUCUUCAGUACACAUUAGUCCUGAGAUCCUGACUAGUACAAGUUUUCUCCGUGAAUCUGUUUUCUAGCUGUUUUUCAUUCUUCUCAUUUCCUGCUUUUAAACUACUUGCAUGCAUGCAGUGAUAACUUUCGGAAGCUAAGGCCAGUCAGAGAUGAUCAUGGACCAAGAUGCAACAUGGGGACCUUAAUUGCCAGUUUCAGCUGGCGAAUUGGGACGUUCAAGAACCAGCUCCUGAAGCUUGGUCUUGUGCUGCUGGUGGCGUCCCAGUGGAGUAUGUGUCUAUCGACAUGAUUGGUAACUGCAACCUCCAACCAUACUUGCCUCAAUCUUGUCAAGGCCAUGGAGGACAGGAACUAGCUGAGUACUACUCCUACUAUGCUGCAGCCUCACUGCCUAACUGGCCCAUUGCAGAGGUCAUUAAUUGGCAGAAUAGGCAGGUAAUGGGCAUCUCGAGCAAACAGGCUGUUGAAUUACAGAAUGAAGAAACUAAUAAGAUCUCUAACAACAGUCUUGUUAGUGCUGUGUUCGAGCAAGUAUCAGACGAGUUUCAGGCUGAUAUCGACCUGAUGGAACAGAAGAUGCAUAGAUAUCCUGCUAGCCUUCGAGAUCGUCUCCAUGAGUCUUAUACGGUGCCAAGGGUUGUCGCCAUCGAUCGGCCCUUACCAUCACCACCAACCCCACCUCAAGCAGGCGGAGAAGGUCAAGCACAUGGCUGUCAUAAGCUGCGUCAUCGAAUCUGGCCACCUAGCGGAGGAGGUGUAUCUCGAGGUUGCCCAUGUAGCAGACAACCAUGCCCGCCGUCUCUAUGACAAGGAUGUCAUGGCAGGUAUCAGCUGUGCAGACUUCCGAGAUAUGAUGUUCGUUGACGCUUGCUUCUUGGUGCAGUACAUGCGCAUGGACUGUGGCAUUGCAAUAGAUGAGAGCUUGGUUGGUUUCUUGCGCCCAAACCGCCGCGACAUCCGCCAUGAUCUCAUUCUGCUCGAGAACCAGCUUCCCUGGAAGGUGGUGGAGACGGUCAUGAAUUUCAUGCCCGAGCCCGCCGUUCCCUUGACGGAAAGCUUCAUCUCUGUAUGGAGAGGCUAUCUGCAGCACCAUAAGAAAGAAGAAGACGAGGAAGAUCAGGAUACUACUUAUCUAUCCACUUUGGUUAAACACAAGAAAUUCAAACCGCAUCUCCUUGGCCUCCUCCGAUACUACACUGUAGGAAGAAACACAAACGCCGACGACGACGACAACAAGCGGGAACCCAAGAACCUAGCAAUUUCUGUUAGUGCCAUUGAGCUUGCCGAGAUUGGUGUCUCUCUCACAGCCAACAAGACGACGAAGCUCAUCGACAUGGGCCUCAACUACAAAGGGACCGUACUUGGUGAGCUCUCCAUGGCGCCUCUGUCGCUGGACCGGAACCGUGCAAGCUUCCUCUUCAACAUGGCCGCUCUGGAGCUAUGCACGGUCGAAAGCUUUUCAAAUGCGCCGGUCGAAGACUCUGCUGUCUGCUCCUACCUCCUGCUCCUGGCUUUGUUGGUAUCCAGAGUGGAGGACGUGAAGGAGCUGCGGGCGAGGGGUCUCCUGCAGGGAGGAGGAGGCCUCACCGACAUGGAAGCGUUCAAGUUCUUCACAACCUUCCAGGGUCUGCGUUUUGGAAGGUGCUAUAACAGCGUGAUGCAAGACUUCGAGUUAUACAAGGAGAGCAGGCAGAUUCCGAGCAAGGUGUACGCUUUUUAUUACAAACACAAGAAAAUCAUCGCCGCAGUUUUGGGAGCCAUUAUUGCAGUUUCUGGGAUCAUAGGGACACUCCUGUCAAUCAAGAACAACGUUUGAUUUGAUAUGUAUACCCAUGAUAUGCAUGGAUGUGGGAUAGAUGUUCUACACACUUUUAUAUGUGCUUUAGCUGUCAUGAUUUCUUUGAUAGUACUCCCUCUGUUUUAAAUAUAUAUGUCAGUGUUGAACAUUGUAUAUUGGUUUAAUUUGAACAUUUGUAUAUUUUCUAAAAUUACGUAUUUCUGCAAAUAGACGUACAAGCAUAUGUACGUAGGUUUAGAGUUAACCGUGUUGUCUAUUUCUCUGUUGGCUGCCAUUGAAUUUUCGAACUCCACAUAUAGCCAGGUGUGUAUACCCAGACUGGAAACUAUACUUUUUUAUCACUGAAUUGGUAUGAAAUGUCAGUGCCAUAUAAAUUGCACCCCAACCAAAUUUAUAUGGCCAGGUAAUGCACAUGGGAUUGGUUACUCGGUGCUGUCACUAGUUCAAUAAUUUUUAGCUACAGAUACAGAGACUGCUGCAGUGUGCCUGCUAAUGCGUUUUUCUUUUUAUACUCAAACUGGUCUCCACCCGGCCCACUACUAAUUUGACAAUGCAUUUUCAUUGGCUUUUAACCAUUUUAGAGCAUAUAUACUAUGUAUUUGUGGUAGCUGUACACAUCUUGUCAUAUCCGUGAGUGAGAGCAACAGAAGUAGCACCAAACAUGUGUGAGUAUAGACUUCAAUCAUAGGGCUGUUUGCAUCAUAUUAUUGACACAGUUUGCAGUUGAAGUGCUUCGACUACAUGGAAUGCAUAUGGAUUGGGAUCGCUAGUUUUCGUCAUUCCUUUACAAGCAAAUGUUUUUCCCUUCGCCUUGUUACCAUGCAUUACUGCAAUAUACUCCUUUCUGGAGGAAGUGUACAAUGCACACCUCUGCUAGUGAUGAACAAACAAAUAAAAACUUUAUGAAGCCCACUCCUGCCCGGAGCUUCCUUCAUCUUAUCAAAUAAUUUUAGUCCCACAUAGAAAAUUGAUGGUGGAGGACCACAAGUACAAGGUUGGGGGUAGUCCUCGCCUAUCAUACUAGUCUUUUGGCUCAUCGAAAAUUGCUAUGCACUUUGAGCAAUUAUUAGGUGUAAAGGUAAAUUUUUCAUAAAAGUGAGAUCUCGUGCUCUAGGCAAGCUAAGAAUUAAUUGUGACAUAAAAUACGGGCAUCUUUUUGGAUGCAAGCUAGGUGCUUACCCUUUUUGUUACCUAGCCCUCCCAAUGCAUUAUAGAAAACUUAAUAACAAAGGUUGAAAAGUCAUCGAAGGUAGGAUUGGAAAUACUGUUUAUGUGGUCGUUCGUUGUUGGUUAACUCAGUUUUAUCAAAUCUACCUAUGUUUAUGCUUUUUAUUGUCCUCAAUUAGUGGUGUCCUUAAGAAAUUGAGUACUAUAGAUCAUUGUUAUUCUAGCAAUACAAUCAAUAGUAAAAGAUAAUUUAGUGUGAAGGAGUUGGAAACAAGAGCAAAUUAUGUACUUUACUUUCUACUUGAAGAAUGAAACAAUUCAAUAUCUCUUCUCUGAUUGUUUACAUGCUAAAUUUCUCUAGAGAGUGGUUCACUUUGUGGUAGGAUUGACACCGCUAAAGCUGUCCAUGAUGGCAUGAUAUUCUUUACAGGUGGUACGAGCAAGGGGAGCGCGGUCCACAUGUGUAGCCUCUUUUCUAGACAAUAUGACUUACAAGUAAUGAAGUUUUUGACAAGUAUUGAUUGAAAAGAUUUUGGAGGAACACUAGGUAUGCCAUGAGCGCAAUUACAGUGGGGUGAAGCAAAUAAGCAACAUGUUAUCCAAGUAUGCUAAAUGCUAGAGAGUAGAGACAACGGCAAUGGAUUCUUUUUUUGUCAUUUGGGCCAUAUAAUGUUAGAAUUGAGUUUUGAGUGGGGCAUUUAUGUGGUUACACAGUAUUGUAAUAAUAGGUGGUUAGCUGCUCUUUGCGAUUAGAGAUGAAGCCAUGAUUUAUUCCCACUAUCUAAAAGGACGUUCAUCUUUUUCUUUAUUUUAAUACUUUUCUUUGGUUUAUUGUUUACAUUCACUUAUGUUUUCUUCAGUUUGUCCAUGUCAUAUUUUUUCUUAUAUUUUCUACCAUGUUCUUUUAUUUCUUUUUUUCUGAUUGUCAUGUUUAAUUUUUUUAUUCUUUCGAUCCUUUUCCAAAUUUAAUAUUUUUUCUCAUCUAGUAAACACUACUAUUUUUCUAUAUUUUCUAAUAUAAAUUUUGUAUUUUUAUGGCCGCCUUUUUUAUUUUCACAAAAUUAGGUUUUUAGGAGCAGGUUAUGUCACGGACCGUGCCUAUAAACCAAUGUAUUAUCUUCACUUCAUUCUGGGCUAUAAUAUAACUUUCUUCGGCAAGAAAACUAAUUAACUUGAAAUAUACGUAAGCACAGUUGGAGCCUUUCGAGAGAGCGCAUGGUUCUGAUAUUUGGUCACAAACAGGUAAAAAAAUUAGCUUAUAUAUGUACAUGCUAAAUAUAAUAAAUAAUAAUAUAACUAUUUACAAUUUUGUUUUUUUGAUUUAUAACUAUUUAUUAGCAAUUGGAAAAAGUCUACUUUAGGUCCCUCAACUUUCGCGAAAGUCUGAUUUUCAUCCCUAAACUCUAAAAUCGGAUAAAAUACAUCCCUCAACUUUUAAACCGUGCACAUUACAUCAUUGACCUGGUUUUGAAAGCGGUUUACCUUUUUUUUAUUUAUUUUGGCUGAUUUUUUUUGAAAAAUCACAGUAAAUCAGAUAAAAAUCAUAAAAUAGAAAACUCAAUUUUGUUGGACUUUAGAUCAGUAUAUCUACACAUUGAAUGUAUAAUAUAGUAUGUUCUAGUACAAAUUGUUUUUGAUGCAUCUUUAGAUCUAUAUUUUUUUGUAAUUAAUUAGACUAAUUAUAGCUACAUUUUCUAUGGUCUAAUUGUGAUGAAAUUUAUAUGGUGAGCUAAUUAUCCUAUGAUUGAGUUAUAGUAAAAAUUUUAUACUCAUUGAAUCAUGUAUUACUUAGUUAUAGAUUUAUUUAGGUUUAUGCUUGUUAAAUUAUAAUAAAUCUAUAACUAAGUUAUACAUGAUCUAAUGAGUAUGAAUUUUUUACCAUAGUUUAAACAUAUAAUAAUUAGUCUAACAUAAAAACUUCACCACAAUUGGACCAUACAAACUACAGCUAUGAAUUAUUCUAAUUAAUUAUAGAAAAAACAGUUCUAAAGCUACAAUAAAAAUUUUAUACUCAAGCAUACUAUAUUAUAUGUUCACUAUGUAGAUCUACUUAUCUGGAGUCCAACAAAAUCAUAUCUACUAUUUUAUGAAUUUUAUGUGAUUUACUAUAAUUUUACAAAUAUCCAGCCAAAAUAAAUAAAAAUGAAAAAGACAAAACUGCCUUCAAAACCGCUCAUAACCAUGUUAGGGAUGUAAUAUGCAUGGUUUCAAAAAUUGAGGGAUGUAUUUUACCCGGUUUUGAAGUUCAGGAAUGAAAAAUAGACUUUUGUGAAAGUUGAGGGACCUAAAGUGGACUUCUUCCUUAGCAAUUUAUAGAGAGGACUCUCUGCAGCUGAUCGAUUUCGUUGUGGGCCGAAACUCGCAUCCGAACGCGGGCCUGUAGUGAAAAAUUGAUGGGCCGGCCUGCUCAAUGAAUUCGGACCCUCCUCGCAACUGGAAAACCGUAACCGAAUGGAAUCGGCAUCGGUGGCUCCUUAAUUUGAGAUUAAAGAGUUCGCGAGGGUCGAAUCCCCAAAUUCCUCCUCCAAUCCAACCCCAAGGAACGAAGAAGGAAGCCACGAUCUGCGCGGGCGGGCGGGCGAUGGGUGGCGGCGAUGCGGAUGCGUUCCGCCGCGUCGAGCGCGUCCGCCGGGAGGUGCGUCUCCAUCAAUCCCCUGCCGCCCGCCCCCCUUGUGUUUCUCUUCCUUCUCGUGAUGCCGGGCAGUCGACCAUGGUUUCGGUUAAACAAGUACUCGCGCGCGCUACUGCCGCCCAAUCGAAACUUCCUAGGGCAAAAACAAAACAACAACAGUAAUAGUGUAGACUUUGUCAGUGCCAUCGAAACUAAACCAACCAUAUGUUGUUUAGGGUUCCCUUUUUUUUUUUUUCUGAUCGAUACACACAAUGUUCAAAGUUGUGAACCUUCUUGUAGGGUUUCAUUUACUCCCUCCGUACCCAUAAAGAAAAUCGUUUUGGAUAAGUUUGGGUCAAACACUAAUCAUGAAUAACUUUUAAGUUGUUGAAUUUGGAAAUGUGAAAACCAUAUAAAUAGAUUUGUCUUGAAAAAUACUUUCAUAAAAGUAUAUAUGUACCACUUUUUGAUAAAUAUUUUUUAUAAAAACAAGGAGUCAAAGUUAGGCUUUGGAGAUCGUGUCGUUGUCAUAAACGGCUUUCUUUAUGGGUAUGGAGGGAGUAUUUGUUAUGGUUAGAAGUUAGAACUGUGAAUUCAACAAAUUAGUAAAGGGUUCAAGCGAACAUGGACUAAUUGUUUUUUGUGUCUGUGUGGAGUGCAUUACUUGCUCAGAUUUAAUUUAACCAUAUUAAUUAAUUAAUCUAUUUUUGCAACGGGCCAGUUCAAUCGCCUCCACAUCCAGCCGCAAGGGACGACUCAACAGGUGCGAGCUAUUGUAUAAAGUUUAAUUAGUCUGAACAAUUAGUUAUUGUAGAUUACCUAUAAGUUAAGUUAUACACCAGUGAAAUAUUUUUAUCCUGCAAAUAUAGCUUUGCCUUUUUUAAGCUUCCUUUAUUUAUGUAUGGACUGGAUUAUUUGAUUUACUGCUUUCUAAACUUACUCAUUUUUUUUCUUUGAAUUAGUUCAAUUCCUCUUUCAUGGAUUUACAUGCUAUGCCUAUGUGUUUUUUUCUGUUGUUGUAAUAGUCUAGUGUCAGCAAAUGUUGGUAACCACAAACUUUAUUUCAUAACAAUGAACAUUAACAGAUUACUAACUUACAAAUAUAGUUUGCACUGCCAUCUUUGUUAAAAACGGUGAAAUAUUUUUAUCCUGCAAAUAUAGCUUUCCCCCUUUUACCUUCCUUUAUGUAUGGGAUCGAUUAUUUGAUUUACUGCUUUCUAAUCUUAUUGUUUUUCUUUUUGGGAAUUAGUCCAAUCCCUUUUUCUUGGAGCCACAAGCUAUGCCUCAACAGGUAUGGUUUUUUCUUUGUUAAUAGUCUAUAAACAAACUGUACUUCAUUAUAAACAUUCUAAUAUCUCUAACUUGCAAAUAUAGUUUACACUGCUGUCUUUAAUUUUUAAGGACCCUUAUCUUUAAUUUGCCUUUACAUGUUUUUUCUGUAUUUAUGCAGACUUAGAUGUUUAGUUUGUUGCUGACCAUAUUCAUUUGUGUGCAUCAGUUUGGUUGUUUCAAUCGCCUUGUGUUCCAGCCACACACUACGACUCAACUGAUGACUCGAGAGGUAUAACUUCUCUUUUUUUGUUGAUUAUUUGCUCUGUGCCUGCACUUAUCACGUAUUGAUACAAAUAUCGUGUAAACUUUCAUUUUUACCUCAGGCUACUCUUUUCACUCGGCGUGUUUAUGUUGGUGACCUUCCUCCCUCUGCUAAUGAACAGGUCUGUACUUUAUUUUUUAACCCCAGAAGGGGAAAAACAACUAUACAUAUACUGCCUAAGUAAACAAACUCAAACACCAUUCCAAAUAUCUGCGACCGUUGGCUAAAUUUGAGUCCAUUCUGCAGACAAUUGGAGUAUUCUUCAAUCAAGUCAUGGCUGUUAUUGGAGGAAACACUGCUGGUCCCGGUGAUGCUGUCUGUGGCAUCUGCAUGAACCAUGAACAAAGAUUUGCUUUAGUUGAGUUCAGAAUGGCUGAGGAAGCAAGCAAUGCAAUGGCUCUGGAUGGCAUUUUGUUUGAAGGGGUGCCAGUGAAGGUUAGAAGGCCAGCAGACUACAACCUUUCCCAGGCAGCUGCCAUGGGCCCGACCCAGCCAAGCCGCAAACUGAAUCUUGCUGCAGUUGGACUAACAGCAGGAUCAGCCGGAGGAGGGUCAGAAGAUCCUGACCGUAUUUUUGUGGGCGGACUUCCCUAUUACUACUCUGAAGCUCAAGUCCGGGACUUGUUGGAAUGCAUUGGGCCUCUUCGAGGGUUUGAGCUUGUGAAAGAUAGGGAAACUGGUAACUCAAAGGGCUACGCGUUCUGUGUUUACAUGGACACCACUGCUACUGACAUUGCUUGCGCUGACCUAAAUGGCAUCAAGAUGGGAGACAAAAUCCUUACUGUCAGACGAGCAAACCAGAGUGCAUCUCAACCCAGACCAGAGCAGGAAAGUAUCCUAUUGCAGGCACAGCAACAGGUGCAAUUACAGGUAUAGACCAACUAUAUUUAUUUUCUUAGCCAAUUAGGGGCAUAUUCUUUGUUGUUUUGUGACUGUGGGUUUGUUUGAAUCAGUUCAAUACCCUUGUCAUCCAGCCACAAGCAAUGACUCAACACCUAUGGUUCUCUAGUUCUUAAUAUUCUGCAGUUACCAAUAAAAAAAUGUACCAACAUCAUUUAUUUUCAGGCUACUCGUCAUGCUCGGCGUGUUUAUGUUGGUGGCCUUCCUCCAGAUGCUAACGAACAGGUUCAGUUUAAUUUACAACACUGGUGUACACAUAGUUUUCAACUGUUUGUUCAAUUUCUCUUUUUUUCUUCUGCAGACAGUGGCAGUUUACUUUAAUCAAAUCAUGGCUGCUAUUGGGGGAAACACUGCUGGUCCAGGUGACGCUGUUCUCAAUGUAUACAUAAAUCAUGACAAGAAAUUUGCUUCUGUGGAGAUGAGAUCUGUUGAGGAAGCAAGCAAUGCAAUGGCCCUGGAUGGCAUUAUGUUUGAAGGGGUGCCAGUGAAGGUCAGAAGGCCAACAGACUACAACCCUUCCCUUGCAGCUGCACUGGGCCCAAGCCAGCCAAGCCCCAAUCUGAAUCUUGCAGCAGUUGGCCUAACAGCAGGAUCUGGAGGGCUAGAAGAUCCAGACCGUAUUUUUGUGGGUGGCCUUCCGUAUUACUUCACUGAAGCUCAAGUUCGGGAGUUGCUUGAAUCAUUCGGUCCUCUUCGAGGGUUUGAUCUUGUGAAGGAUAAGGAAACUGGUAACUCAAAAGGCUAUGCAUUCUGUGAUUACCAGGACCUCACUGUCACUGAUAUCGCUUGUGCUGCACUAAAUGGUAUCAAGAUGGGUGACAAAAUCCUCACUGUCAGACGAGCAAACCAGGGGGCAUCUCAGCCCACACCAGAGCAGGAAAGUAUCCUAU